UUCAAAACAGAGCUUGCGUUUAUCUGCUUCUUUGUCAUCAAUUCAAUCAAACUUUCCGUCGGGAAAUUUUCCGUCUCCAAUUCCAAAAAUGUCGUCGUGCUGCGGUGGUAAAUGUGGUUGCGGGUCCGGCUGCAGCUGCGGCAGUGGCUGCAACGGGUAAUCUUUCUACCUCUCUGUUUGUUUUCCGAGAAUCUGGAAAAAAGAAAAUCCCAGAAAAUUUCUGCUCUGAUUUGGGUUUUUGACUACAUGGGUUUUUGUUCAGGUGUGGGAUGGCUCCUGAUCUGAGCUACAUGGAGGGGUCCACCACUGAGACCCUCGUGAUGGGAGUUGCUCCCCAGAAGUCGUACGUAUUCUCAUCUCUCAGAAAUGAGAUCCCAAAUUAUUUUUGAAAUAUGUAAUUUGCAGAUUUUGUGGUUAUAAUUUUGGGAGACACGGAGAAACAGAAGUAGAUGGACACCAAACCGACAAUAAAAGUUUUAAAACGACAAUAAAAGGGAAAAGGACUCCGAUCCCUUCCUCCAAUUCAAAUCAGGAAAUUUAUGAUGUUGAAAUUUUUUUCUUUACUAAUUAAUGAAAUCUUUUUGUCAAUCAAAAAAUGAAAGAUAAAUUAGUUUUUUGUUACAAAAAUAUGAUGGGUAAUAAUGUAAUUUUAAAGGUUUAAAUUUUAUUAUUUUUAUUGAAAUAUUACUUGCCGAUGAUAUUAAAAUACCUUUAAUAUUAUAUAAAAAAAUAACCAAAAAAUACCUUCCCAACUCUCCCAGUUCUCUCUCUCUCCUAUUUUUUUUUAAAUGUGUUCAUACAUAUAAAUUGCAAGUAAAUAUUAGUAAUUUUUAAAGUGAGUUUCUGUUUGUAAUCGUUGAAUCUGUAAGGAUUUUCUGAUUUGAUGAUUAGGAGAAAGGGAUAUGCGGAGUGGAUUUAUUCCCAGUAAAAGGAAACAAAAUCAUGAUUUAUGUACGGUUUAUUGUCUGUUUAACAUAAGUUAAAUUUGUCUUUGUUUUGUUUUUAUUGAAACCGCGAUCGGUAUGAUUUAGGGAAGCAUGGAGAGAGAAAGCAUCAUUUAUACACUGACUUAUUGUCUGUUUCGGAGCGCUGUAACAUUUGUUUUGUAAUUUUGAUGUGCAGUCACAUGGAGGCAUCUGAGAUGGGAGUUGCUGCCGAGAACGGAUGCAAGUGUGGAGACAACUGCACCUGCAACCCCUGCAACUGCAAGUGAGAGGGACAGAUGGCACCUUCUGAUGAAGCAAGAGAAUCGCGGGGCUUAUAUGUUUAGCAGUAAUAUAUGUAUGUGUGUGUGUCGUAAUCAUGAAUCAUGAUCCAAAUUUACGAAGGUCGUGUUUUUAGAAUAAAGUGGCCAUGGCUUCUUCUGAGCUGCACGUCCUACUAGGCUGGGAUCUGGUCCUAGGUUAUGGCUGCUUGUUGUCUGUUUGCUUUGUACAUGCAGUAGUCGUAUUUGUGUUUUUAUGUUCGUGUUAACUUGGUGGAUCGUAUUAUGUGUUUCUGAUGAAAUUAAUGAAAAACUUGCUCCAUCUUUUGCUUUAAUUUUUGGGUUAAUUGACAAGGAAAACGAGUGCAAUAAGUUCCAACAACAAAAGUUUCUAAGAUGUUCUGGGGAAAUUUGGAGUACAACAUAUUUCGAUGUUUUAACCUUUUAAGAAUUUGUCAAACAUCCAACGAUUAUCGGAGAAUUUGUGUAGAAAGUCGUAUAUAUGGAGGAGAAAAACACACAAGAAGAAUUAGAUUAGAUCUGUUACUAAUCCAAACAUUUUUAAAAAGGGAUUUUAACAAAAAAAAAAAAAUGGUAUUAUUUAUUUUAACGAAAAAUUAUAUUUUUAUAAUAAAAAAUUAAUAUUAGUACUAUUUAUUUUAUUUUUUUAUUUCGUAUUUAUCGUUAACUUAAAAUUUUUAAAUUAUUUUUAUUAGUUUUUUUUUUUUUAAAAAUAUUAACCAUCUAUUUGGGAUAAUAAUUUAGCCAUUAAUAAGACUCCAAAAAAAUAAUCAUCAAAGUAUUUGGAGAACCAUCAACCCUAUCCUUUAUUUCGUUCCAUGGUUAAAAAAAAAAAAAAGAACAAAAAAGCAGGAACUAGUGGUAAGCUAUGGUUAUUAACCUUUUUUUGGUCCGAAACCGGGAUUGUAAUUUUGUUAUGUCGGUGGUUACGAUCAAGCAGAUCUAACGGCUCGAAAUAUUUCACAUUUUUUCAAAACUCACCCAUCCAAUAUUUAUUGUAUGGUUGUGGUUCAACCACAUUUUUUUGUUGGAAACUCACCCUCGAUCUAAUAUUUAUUGUAUGGUUGUGGUUCACGUUACGCUUUGGACGGGCGAUGUCUUUAUGCUGGGAGCAGCAGCUUUUGGGCACUCCACAUGUUGGUCGAAAAAGUGUCACCGUGACAUCUCAUGUUAGUGUAACAUCUCGGUGAGGACAGUUUCAAUUGUCGAACGAAAAUAUGACGAAGCAUAAGUGCCUUGCCGUAUCAAUGACUCAGCAAUAAGGCUUUGUAAAUUUCAUUCAGUUCAAGAUUGUAACAACAAAUAGAUGGAAUUCAUUAGAAAUCAUGAAUAAUCUUCGUUGCUAGUUUACAAAUCAACACAAACAGGGUCUUUUCAGUCUUUUACAAUGACACGUCCAUAAGGUUUUACUUGGGCGAGAAAUUUCCGUAGAGCUGCCUUCUCACACGGGGUUUGACCAACUUGAGGUUGGAUAGAUUAAAAACUAAAAUACAGGAGGUUUUAGAGUUGGAGUUGACGUGGUCAGACACCCCUAUCCAAAUUUCACAUUUGCUUGACCUGUGAAAUAUCUGAGCAGCUGAGUGUUGCCUUUAUUUCCUUAUCAAGUACCCCUAUCGCUGCUUUGUUAAACAGGUUGACAAUCUGUUAAAAGAAAUUAAUUAGAGCAGAUUAGUAAUCAUUCAUCAUUCAACGGGGAAGGUUGUGGUGAAACUGUCUUCUGGGAUCACCUGCUUAGUUGAGAGGCCUAUUUUCUCCAAAUCGUUCAGCUGAAACAUGCAACGUUCAACAUCACAGUUACUCAAAAACUUAGUUCCAAUUUCGCUGUACCGUUCCAAUUUUAUCGGAUAGUCCAUGAAAAAACAAAUGUAAUUCAAGUUUCAUCUGUUCCUAAACCUUAAUAAACUUGCUUACCGAUUUUAAAGGGCUCGUUUCUCUGAGCUCGAGUAUGUAUUCAGCCAUUUUGACUCCUAUUCCCUGAUUGAUGAACGCGAGGGAAAAAGAAAGUAUCAGAAGGCAAGUAAUUAUUUUAAGAACACACAAAGAUGCAGCAUUUGAUAGGAACCUUUAGCUCCAGCAGCUCUUCCCUGCGGUUGAGAAAACCAGUCGAAAUAUUAGGUUCAUUUGGUAUGAUUGAGUGAAAAAUGCAAGAAACGAAAAAACGAAGAAGCUUCAAAGAGAUGAUAAGAUUUUUACCUGUUGGCUGUGUUCAAGAAGUCAAUAUAAUCUUGAAGUAGGAACUUCUGUGCAAUAAGCGAAAGAAAAACAGAUGAAAAUCACAUUAAAAAGCUAGAACUUAACUAAUAGAGUUGUACGUAAUGAUUGUACCUUCAAGUUUGAUCCGCAAGCAGUGAAUUUAUCAAGUGGGGUGCCUGUCCUUUGGAACAUGUUUUUCGUGCAGGUCGCUAAAGAGGGAGUUUUCGGAGUCUUUGGAUCAAAGAGUAGGGUGCAAUCUCCAUUUGUGAAUAAGGGUUCACUGAGGGGAUUUUGAUUUAUAUUGGUGUUGAUCGGGGAGAGAGCUUUUCUCAAGGAACUUUGAGGUGUGUUUUUCUUCCCGCUGACGGGUGAUGAGUCGUUUGCAAAGUUUUCCUCCUGGUUUGGUGGUUCAGCUAUGCAUAUAUACAAGAAAAUAGUGCAUUUAUUCAAUUUGUUUAGAGUGUUUGAAGGAGCAUAUUAAGUAAUAAAACCAUAUAGAGCUGAAACAUACCAGGUAAACUUGUAUUUGAUUUGAGAACGGAUCCACAAGCUCCAGCAUUGCCCACUUGUUUAUUAUCCUUAGCGGCGAAUUGCAGGCUCUGGAAAGCAAUUCCAACUCAUAAAUACACAAUGACAUAAACAUCAAACGCAAGAUAAACUAAUUCGGAAUGAAUUCAGUAGCUUCUCAUCCCCAAGUGGAACUGUUAAACUCAAACUUUCAAAUAAUAUGCCAUCUCAUGAAUAUCCUAAUGUGAUGAAUAAAGUUUCACAAUAGAGUAAGAAUAAGAAUAUAUUGAAUACACUAUAACGUAGUUCUAAUUUUAUCAUUUUCCAUCCAUGUACUCCCUAAAAUUUAGUAAUUACCUCCAAAUUGGAAUCAACUAGACUUUCAUUGUCGAUUAUGUUCCUGAUAGGUCUUUUGAUUGUCCUGCAAAAAAUUUCAACAAUCAAACAAAAGUGACUAAUGCAUAGCAUGAAGGAUAUACAAUUCAACUAGUUACUUGUCAUUGUACCUUUCUUUCACAGAGCAGGCGCUUCUGUUUGUAUUAACCUUGGAUUUCAUAGAACUGAGGUUGAUGCUGGGUUUCUUGACAUUAGCAAUAGAAGAACUUGGAGAUUUCCCCAACAAGGGAGAAUUGAAUGCUUCAAUUCUUCGCACACUCUUUGUCUUUCCUCUUGAUUCAAGCCAAGUACGGAGUUUGGCUUCCAUGUCAACUUUAACCUUCGGGGUCUCUUGCUUGUGAGCUGAAGGAACAAAGUUGGUAAUGUGGCGUGACCGAGCUGCCAAGCUGACAGUAUGAACAGACUCCUGGUACUCUCCUGGAUUCUAUUAUCAAAGAAAAUUGUUUCCAAUAUAAGUUUCAAAGAAAAAAAAAAGAUAAUAAUAAGUACAGGCCAGACGAAAGCACUUCUAUUCAAACGCUAAUUCAAACUUCUUACCAAGCAAGUAAUCAUCAAAGCCUGACUCAUCCCACCUAGUGAGUCUUGCAAAAUACGAGUCAAUUUACUCUCUCUAUAGGGCACUCGGGAUAAGUUGUUGUUCAGUGCAUAAAUGACAUUUGAUAAUGCAAACAAGGACUGGUUAAUCUUCGCACUCUCUUGGAGACGGAUCCCUUCGUUGCAAGUUCUUCUAUUAUCUUCAUUACCUGCUUGAAAUACACAUGUAGAUUAAAUAAAGAAAAGACAAAGAUCAUGUACUUUAUUUAUAGGGAAAAGUUUAGGAGUGAGAAAAGACCUGCUAAAUCUAUGAGAUUCAACUUCCCAGUAACAGCAUCCCCAGAACCAUCAUCAAGAGUUGAAACGGCAAUCACAAGGACACCAUGGCUCCUACUAGACACAUCAUUGAGACCUGUAUGGGCAGUUUUCCGCCUCUGAAUCCCACAAGAAAAGGCCUCAUAAAACUCAAACAUGGACUUUACAGGGACCCGAGACAGCCCCUUAAGAUGAACCUGCCCAUCUUUGUCAUCCAAAACCGUAAUUUCCUUGGCUUUGAUCUCUAACAGGUCAUAACACCUGUCCAUAUAGACCUCGUAGUAUGAUAGCUCAACUGAGCUUCCUGUGCUCUGGCACAUAGACAGGAUUUUGGACAUGGACAGCUCCAUUAGACCCGGCAUCUCAUCCGUGCCCUGGAACAUAAAAUCCCAUGCUGGAUUAACAUUACAGAAGAAAAUGCUUCAGAACAAACACUAAAAGCUGCAUUUAGUUACUUUUAACCUAUGCUAAUUCACAAAUUUCUUUUCUUUCUGGGGAUAAUUACAGAUGAUUAUCCAGAUUAAUGAUUUAUUAAUCAUAAAAUGCCUUCACUAAUGUUUCAUAUGGGUGGUCAGACGUUGGUGUAGCCACAUUGGGUAGAGCGGAUGUGCUCCCCCUCCCCGCAGUUUAGAUUAGUUUAAAAAUUAAAAUGGAACAUCGAUUAUGUAAAAAGAAACGAAAAAAAAAAGUUCAUAUCUUUGGAGAAUUCAAAUUCAAAACUGAAUUUUUGCCAAAAGAAGUAAAAAAAAUUUCAAACCUGUAUAGUGUAAGUCUUUCCACUUCCAGUAGCUCCGUAGGCGAACACCGUCGCAUUGCAGCCAUGAAAGAGUCCCGGAAUCAAGGGGCAAACUUCUCUACUGAAGAUCCGGCCAACAUUGUUAUCCUCCGGGGCAAAGAAGGAGUCUAACCGAUAGCACUCGUUUCGGCUACACCCCGAAAAACAAAAUCAGGAGUCACCAUCAAAACCCAGCUUCCCAAAUCAAGAAAGCCAAAAUUCAUCUCCGAAUUGGCUGACAGAAAAGCAAGAAAAUUACUCACCUUGUCACUUUAUCUUUGAGAUGAACAACCACUUCCUCGGUCGCAAACUCGGAUUCUUUUUCGAUAACGGAAGCGCACGGCGUCGGAUCUCUGUUACCGUCAGCGAUCUCUUGGGGAAGAAAAGGGCGCACCCGAGCGAUCACCCUGACCUUCGAAAUUGAACUGGGGUUCGUAGAUUUUGCUGGAGUUGCAGAAGAACUGUCAAGAGCUCGACCCACCUCCAUUGGAACAAAGGAAAGAGCUUUAGCUUGGAUUUCAAGUGAGAGAGAGAAUUGGGAAUUUGCAGAACGGUCUGUAACUGAAAGAUGGAGAUUAAGAGGAGGUCUGAAACUAUUUGUCGAACGUUGGGGCUUUUUCAGUUUGAAUUUUUGGAUUGGGUGCGGACUGUGCCGUUGGGCCUCGUGUGUGGUGGGGGCCUAUUUCUUACUCCUUCGGAAUGUUUGCUGUUUAGGAUGAGAGAUUUUUUAGUAUAACCGCUAUACGGAUGGGACGUGUUAUUAUACAAAUGAUGAGAUAUAAAUUUUUGUGUUUUGACUGUCGAACGUGGUUUGUACCCAUGUUGAGUCAAGUGACAUCUAAAUGUAGGAAGCCCAUUGUCGAACGUGGUUUGUACCCAUGUUGAGUCAAGUGACAUCUAAAUGUAGGAAGCCCAUUAUUUAUGAGCAAGUAGGACAGUGUAAUUAUACAAAUGAUGAGAUAUAAAUUUUUGUAUUUUGACUGUCGAACGUGGUUUGUACCCAUGUUGAGUCAAGUGACAUCUAAAUGUAGGAAGCCCAUUAUUUAUGAGCAAGUCGGACAGUGUAAUUAUUUCGACUAACACGUACAAGAACUAGUUCUUUUUUUUUUUUUUUGGGAGGGGGUGGGGUUAGCCUUACAAAGGGUUAGUAAAUAGUGUGGUUCAAAUUCGCUUUUAGCGAGAAUUGAACCUAAGACCUUUUAUUUAUAGGUGAAGGUGAAUACCACUAGAUCGUAGUACUAAGUGGCAUCAAUAACUACUUUCUAAACAAUGAUAAAUUCUUCCCCGUUGCUUGUUGAGAUCAAAUGAGGCCCAUAGUAAGUAUGGUCGUAUUGUCUUUGCAUUAGAAGAAAGACUUUUAUGAUAUAAGUAUACACUAUCUUGACAUUUGGUGUCAAUACUAUAAAAACAUGUGUAAAUUUUUAUUUAUAGCAUCGUAUCAUUAACAUAAUUUGUUGAUAGUAUAACUAGGAUUUGGAUUUCGGAUCCAAAUUGUAGGAAUUCUAGAAAUUCUCACAUCUUAAUUGUUUAUCGUACAUCAUGCAGUCAGAAAUUAUUUUGAAUUUAUUUAUUUAAAACUAAACAUAAAUAAUAAUGAACAUUAAAUGCACAAUAUACGAUAAACGAUCAUGAUGUAAGGAUUUCUGAAAACACCACAAAAAAGAUCCGGUGGAUUCUCAUCCGUAUAACCAUGCCAUCAAGUUGCUCUCAUGAAUUUUCGAAGUAAAAAAAGCUGCUCUCAUGAAUUUGGUUUGUAUAUGGGCCCCCACCAUGGACCCACAACUUGUAAGACAAAGCCGCAUAUGACCGGCGGAGGGAAACUCUCUCCCAACCAGGCCCAAAUGGCCCCCUCGUCAGAGUUUCAAUUACCCAAACGUUUGAGGACCUGUCAGCAAGGCGGCGCAAAUAUGUGAAGGGUUUUAGACAAAGACCGUAAUUGUAUAUGCGUUAAACCCUAAACCCCCAAAAUUGUGGGAAAUCACGAAGAUGGAGAAGGGCAUGCUGUCUGCAAACUUGGAGGGUCUUCCCGAAGAAGACAAGCACAGAAUGGCCACCUUGAUCGACCAACUCCAGAUUCGCGACAGGUUUUUCUGAUUUUUUUUUUAAAUGCAGUGUUUUUUUGUAAUUUGUUCUCAGUAAUUUGUGAUUAGUGAGGCAUGUUCUUGAUACGGUGCAUGAUAGAUUGAAGUCUUAGAAAAAUACCCACAAAAUUAAAUGGUUAAUUGUUAGCAGGAAAUUUGAAACUACGAUGUGAUUCCAAUGUAAUCAAGUAUAUGUUUUGAAAUUUUGAAAACCGAACCGAACCGGAUAUAUGUCUUGGGUUUGGCUCAUGGUUUUGAUGAUGAACUGGCCCAAACCGAACUGUGCCCAUCCCUACUGAUUUCGGUUGUGUUUGUCCAAAAAAUGCAGUCUGAGGAUGUAUAAUUCAUUGGUGGAGAGAUGCUUUACCGACUGCGUAGACACCUUUUAUCGCAAAGCGCUGACGAAGCAAGAGGAUACGUGCGUUCGUAGGUGCGCUGAGAAGUUCCUCAAGCACUCGAUGCGCGUUGGCAUGAGGUUUGCAGAGCUUAAUCAAGGAGCGGCUACUCAAGAUUAAGCUAAGCUCUAUGUAUGAAUCAUUUUUUGGUAUGGAAGGUCUUGGAAAUCUUUCGAGUCGGUUUACGGAAGUUGCAAUUUGUUUAGCCUUGAUUCUAGAAUUGUGUUUCUUACACUGAUUAGAUUCGUACAUUUUCAAAAGAAAAAAAAUAUUCAUGGUGAGGUUUUACAGUUAGCUGGAACUGGAUAUGAAUUGGUUAUGAUUUAUGAUUUUGCCCUUUUAUUCGCGUAUCAUAUCUGGUGUGGUAAAUUCGUUGUGUACACGUAGACUGUGAUUGAAAGUUUAGGAGGAACGGCUCCUUGCCUCUGCAGCAUUGCAAGUGUAGAGAUUGAGAUUGUGUAGUUUUGUUCAUUGAUGAAGUCCCGACUGCGAAAAAAUGAAUAUAGGAUUUGGGAUUGAUAGACUUUGAUGCAACCCUUCAUUCUUGGUAUACAGAUCCUUCCAUUCUUCCCCUUAAUUUAGAACUUGACUUCGGUUGGCAGUGAUCUUGAUAGUGAGGCAACCAAGUGAUUUAGAUUAGAUGAGAAGAAAAUUGGUUUGUAAAAUCACCGCCUUCUGAGCCUUUUCCCCUUUCUGCUAAGGAUGAUAAAGAUUACGAUGUGACUGUGAAAGUAUCUCAAGGACUAGAAAAGGAAAACUCGAAGGGAGAUUACCUAACAGUGAAUGAAGAAGUUGCCAGUUGGUCUCCCGGGCAUGGAGGUCCCUGCUUGAACUUGAUGAGCAAUUAGGCAGAAAUGUGAGCAAGCAGAUGCAGGGGAUUGAAUUGAACAUGCUGUGAUGCAGGCAAUUUUUUGCUUCGAUGAUUGUUUUGGAAUGCAGUUUUCUAGUGCUUGUUAUUUGGGAUUCAAUCAUGUAUAUUUUUACGUUGAGUUGUGUUAUUGAAGGAAGGAUGAAGGUUGUUCUUGGUAAAGAUUCCAUGAUGCUUUGUGGGGAAGUUGUUGGAUAUAAAGAUGUCAAAUGCUAGGUUUGAAGUUCUCUUGCUCACUAGUGGUUUUUGGUAUUUUAAAAACUCAUUAAAAACCCAACUGAAUACUUUGUUAAAAAAAAAAAAGAAAAAAAAAAGAAAAAGCUUAGAAAAGCACUUCUAUUUAAAAAGCACAUUUAAAGCCCUUUCAAAUUUUUGUUAAACACUUCUAGUCUUGAAGGCCUCUUUGAUGUCUAGCGUUUAGCUUGUAUAAGGUAAAUCAUCAGAUUGAGUGAAUACCGAAUGAAGAAUUAGAUGUCCACUUGCAUUUUUUUGUCAAAAUGAAGGUAGAAUAUGGAUUAGCUAUGACAAAAACUUAUUCCGACCAAUUCUAUCAUUUUUUGUAGGAAUUAAAGGGAUCAAUUUCAUACCUAAUCCAUCUUCUAUCUUCAUGACCAAAAACCCAAAUAGACUUUCAUUUUUCGAUUCAUAAUCAGUUUGAAAACAAUUUCACUUGAAAUGAAAACGAUUUUUGUACAUUAUUUUCUCCUUCUAAACAUCUAUGUUUAUUAUGUCAUUUGAUUCUUCUUAUUUUAUUCAAUUCAAACGUCAUAAAUAAACAAUGGUGUUUUCGGUUCCAUACUUUCUGUUUUUUUUUUAAAACCGAAGAUAGGAUUAAUUAAAGACGAAUAGGAAUGUUUACAUCGUGGGCUAGAACAUUAAACAGAAACUCCCGCCCAAUACAAUCCCAAACAAAAUCACCACCUUUCUGAAAGGCAAACUUCGCCAUCGAGUGAGCCGCACGGUUGCUCUCCCUAGGCAUAAACGAAAACGUCACAGAACCUCUGUACUAGAAUCUCGAUGUCACCAAGGAUGCAUUCAAUGCUGUAGUCUUGUGUAGAUUCUUUCUUUAGCAUCUGGAUAAUAACUAAAGCAUCAGAUUCAAUUACCACAUUAUUAAAGCCGUUAUCAAUGCAGGCCAACAGAGCGCUCCGGAUAGCACAUGCCUCAGCAGCCGCCGCACUGUGACAAAAGCCAGAUCCCGAUCUUCCAGCAGUUUGAAGCAGACCCGCAAAGUCACGGCCCACCCAUCCCACUCCAGCUCGCAAAGAAGACCUACACCAAGCCGCAUCGGUAUUCAUCUUAAUGGUGCCAAAUUUUGGUUUCUUCCAUUGAGACUGCGGACGAUUCGCCAGCUUGUGGGGUUUUGAGUUCUGUUGACAUUCUCCCUCGAGACUCUGGGACAGAGCCUCACGGUAAUCGGAAAUAUUCUUCCUCCAUAGCGUCAUGACUUCUAGGUGUUGUCUGUGUACACCAUUGAAUACCAAUUCAUUUUUGUUUUUCCAUAGUCUUCAGAUACCGAAAGCAAACUCCUAGAGAAUCUCCUCAUUCUUUUUCGUAUUCUUGAUUCUGGUACAAAUUUUAUCCCAACUUUCCAGGAAGUCGGCUUCAGCCAGCUCUCGGGAGUUUAUAUGUAUAGGGGAACCAAACCAAAAUCGAUGGCUGAAAUCACAAUGGAAGAAUAAGUGAUUUUCCGAUUCAUCAAAAGUGUUACAUAGCCCACAAAUGUUUUCGACUCGCAUUUGGCGUCGUUGAAGAUUGUGACGCAUCGCCAGAGCAUUAUUGCAACACUUCCAGAUGAAGAAUUUAAUUUUGUUGGGAACCUGCAACGUCCAAAUCUUUUUCCAUACCAAGUUGUUCCUGCGGUGCUCACUAGGCGUACCCCGACCUUUCCUACCCAGGGCGCCGUUCUCCAUCAAAUUCAUUGCCACUCCAUACCCAGUUUUAACAGAGUAAUCGCCAUUCACCGUAUAGUGCCAUACUAUUCUGUCAUAACAGCUAGAUUUACUUAGAGCUAUGCUUAAAAUUUGCCUCGCUUCAUCCCAGUUGAAACCAGCCGAGAUAACCUCUUCCUUCCAGGACUUUGAGACCGGUUCAAUUAGAUCUCGUACCAUAAUUUCUUCUAGGCUGUCCUUCAGGUUAGCCAAGAAAGUUGUAGGUGUCGGUAACCACGGAUCAUUUCGAAUAUUUAUGCUUUCCUCAUCUCCUACCCGCCACCUUACAUAAUGUUGAAGUACCAUGCGACCUUCGUAGAUGCCUUUCCAUCCCGACGAUGUGUUCCUCCCUCUUCCAGCAUCCUUGAAAACUUUUCCUGGAAAAUAUUUAUCUCUCAAAACAGUCGCAAGAAGGGAAGUGGGAUUUUGGAUCAACCGCCAGCCAAUCUUUGCAAGGAAAGCAAGGUUAAAGCACUGGAUAUCCUUAAAACCCAAACCACCGGCCUGUUUUUGUUUCAUUAGCCGAUCCCAUGAAAUCCAAUGACAUCCCCUUCUCUGAUCAUUUCCUUUCCACCAGUAGCUUCAGAUUGCUUUCUCCACAUCCCUAUAGACCCCAAUGGGGAGUUUGAAGCAGCUCAUGGCGAAGUUUGGCAGAGCCAUAGCAACUGCCUUUACCAGGACUUCCUUCUCAGCUUGGGAUAGGAAUUGCUCCUACCAACCCGCUAACCUGGCUUCAAUCUUAUCUCGAAUCUCCGCAAAGACAGCUUUUUUGGAGAGUCCAAAAUCAGCCUGCAGUCCAAGAUACUUCCCGAAACCAUCCUUGUAUUGUAUCCCCAGAGUUUCCCCAAUUUUCUUCUUGGUCCUUUUAGAUGUCGAAGUUCCAAAGAAAAUCGAGCUCUUGGACAUAUUAAUCUCCUGCCCAGAUCCGCUAGCAUACACAUUCAGGACAUCUGCCACACCUUGGGCCUCCUCAACCAUAGCAUUCCCAAAGAGGACUGAGUCGCCUGUGAAGAAAAGAUGAGUAAUAGGAGUCCCAUUAGGUGUCAUCUUGUAGCCAUGGAGGGCUCCACGUUCCAGCCCUUUCCUAAUCAAACUGGAGAAACCCUCAGUGCAAAUUAGGAAAAGGAAAGGAGAUAAGGGGUCCCCUUGUCUUAAGCCCCUCUUCGGUUGGAUGUAACCCGUCGGAGAGCCAUUGAUAAGGAUACUAAAUGAUACAGUAGAAAUACAUUCUUUUACCCUAUUGCAGAACAUCGGUGUAAACCCCAAUUUAAUCAUCAUGGAGAGAAGGAAAUCCCAUUCCACACGAUCGUAAGCCUUUGCCAUGUCCAACUUGAUGGCCAUUCCUUUCUGGUUUUCCUUACUUUGAUGGUUCAGGGAGUGGAGGAUCUCGUGUACCACCAGAAUAUUGUCAUGUAUUUACUUCCCAGCAACAAAGGCAGAUUGAUUUUCGCCAAUCACCUUCGGCAUUAUCUUUUUGAGUCUGUUAGUCAUCACCUUAGCCAAGAUCUUGUAGCUAACGUUACAGAGGGCAAUAGGUCUGAAUUGCGUCAUGUUCUUUGGACAUUUCACCUUAGGUAUAAGGACUAAAUUUGUGUGAUUUAGUUUCCUCAGAAGGGUUCCUGAGUGCCAAAAUGCUUUGAUGGUCUUCACCACAUCCUUUCCCACUGUCGUCCAGUGAUCUUUAUAGAAGCAUCCAGAGAAUCCGUCAGGCCCCGGGGCUCUUGCGGAUGGAAUUUGAAAAGCAACCUCCUUAAUUUCUUCAUCAGUGAUAGGUGCCACUAGGUCGCGGUUAUCCUCCGGUGUCACCCUAGUCUCCAUGCAGUCUUCUACUUCCUUACUUUGGCUGGGCCUGCAUGACUGAAAUAAACCAGUAAAAUAAGAGUUAGCAAUAUCACAUAUAUCUUUGACUCUCAUGUCACUUUCCGUUGGAGUUCUCUAGACCCUUUAUCUGAUUGUAUCUUCUUCUUUUCAACGUUUGAGCAUGAAAUUUUUUUGUGUUUUUGUCUCCCUCUCGUAGCCAUUGAACUCUGGAUUUGGCUUCCCAGUAGGCUUCUUCGUUUCUGUGGGCAAACCGAAGAUCUCUCUCUUUUAGUUUAACCUCCUCAGAGGCAAAUUGGUUAGACAUGUAAGCCCUCCUGAUCUCUUCUUUCAGUUUGUCAAUGGCUUUUUUUGAAUUUCUACCCCUGCCUUUAUACCACACCUUAAGGCUCUUCCUGAGCUUUUUCAGUUUUUCGCAAAACCAGAAAGCAUGAGAUCCACCAAGCUUGCCUUCCCAUUCAUUUGCCACAAGCUCACGGCAUUCCUCCAGUUUACUCCAGCGGGCAUCAUAAGAGAAUUUUCUUCCUCUCCACGCUUUAAGCUUCUAAUGGAAAGAAAAAGCAUGGCAUGAUCAGAUCCUUCAAGCACCAUAUGUCUUAUUGUAGUGUCCGGGUAUAUGUUGUUCCAGCCCAUCGUUGCUAGCUCCCGAUCAAGCCUUUGUUGGAUAGGUAAGGACUCUCUAUUGUUUCUCCACGUGAAAGGAUAUCCUAGGUCCAUGAGUUCAUUCCUGGCCACGAACUCCCUGAAAUCUCUCAUACUGGAAGCCGGUCUGUAAUUUCCUCAUUCCUUUUCUUCAUUGCAUAGGACGUCGUUAAAAUCUCUCAUACUUUUUGCUUUGAAUACAAGUGAUAUUUUAUACUAAUCUCAAUAAGAGAAGGGGAAACGAAAAGUGCUUGAAUUCAGAAAAUAGCUUAUUUGAGAGACUAGACGAUCCAACAAAACAUAUAUACACCUUUCCAAACAUGUUUGAUUGCUUCAAGUUUCAUCAAUUUUUACGAAUUUGAAUUGGAGCAAUCUGACAUGGUCAGAAAAUUACAAUAGGAAUUAAGGUGAAAUUAGAACAUAAAGGAGAGAGAAAAAAAAACAACUUGCACUAAAUAAUUGGUCACGUUGAGGGUUUUCCCGCCAACCAACGGUCCAGAUUCACGAGAAUAAUACAACCUAACACAAAGAGAGAAAAAAACAUCAUCAGGCACCGUUCAUUCACCCAUUGAUCUGACGUUCCAGCCAACAUUUAGUACCCUAACCCGCCAUUUAAUAAUUAAAACGUUCUUUUCCAAACAAAACCCACUUAAACGACGACCCAUUUAUUCCCCAAUCCAACGGUCCAUAACUCCCCGCGCAAUCAAACCGCUCAUCCAACCGCUCCAAACCUGUUCGACAUUUAACAAAGGGGCUCAGAGUGCCGUUUGAGGUUCAAACUUUUGGCUAACGUUCCCAGCACGCCGUCACCCGCAGUUAACUGACAGGGUUUUCUAUACCUCGCAAAAACUCAUACCUCUUUCGGUAACGGUAAUUAACGGAGACGUCGGUGCAUAUAUAUUCGUUAUAAAAUUUUCUAAACAUUUUUUUAAAGUAUUUAAAUAUUAUUUCCCCCAGGUUCUAACCUCUGUUCUCUCUCUCAUCGUUUCAACGGGCGAGGAUUUUUCGAAACCAAAAAGCUCUCCUCUUUCUUUCAUGUUUCAGAGAAGAAGGGUUCUGAAAUUCUAUUGGGUUUAAUCGAUGAGCUCGAUUUCGAUUCCCGCCACUUCUUCGCAAGCAGAGGUAACUCUUACCUUUUCAGAAAAAUCGUUUUUAUGUUUUUGAAAACUCUUGUCCUUGUUUUUGUUUUUUUGCUUUUCAAUUAUUUUCCACUGGGUUCGAUCAAGUUUUUACGAUUUAUUAGACUUCAAGUUGCUUGGAUUCGUAUUGGGGUUUUUGGGUUUUCAAUAAAAGCCCUAGAAGAAUUGUGUUUAAUUUGCAGUUUUUUUUUUAUCUGAAAACGAGUUUUUAAGAUCUGGGUCUUCCUUGUCUGGGUCUAUGGCGGUACGGUUUUGGAGAUUUUGGAGUAAAGUUCGGGGGUGUUAGGUGUUUUCGAUUUGGUUUAGGGUUUUCUCUUAGAGGGUUAUGUUUUGUAUUUGUGUGUUUGUGUAUCUAUUUAUUGAUUGGGAUAUUGGAUUUUCGAGAUUAUUUUUAGGAGGAGAUGGCUGGGGCAAAAUUAGAGGAGUGUUGCCUUGAGAAUAAGCAAUCCAUGGCUACAUCGAGCUCGUCUGUAUCCGAAGGCAGUGGCAGUGCUAUUAUCAAGUCCCCAGGGGCUUGCAGCCCAGCAUCUGCUUCUCCUACUCAACGGUACUUUUCCUCAAUCCUUAAUAGCUGUGAUUUAGUUACAACUAUAUUGACGGUCUCUAUUUGAAAACCAUUCAAUUACAAAUUUGGUGUUCAUCUUUAGUUCCAUGCAUCUGCUUUUAGAAAUUAUAUGGUUUUCAAUGGAUUUUUGUAUCCUUACCAGCUGGAAAAUCGAUCUGCUAACUUAAUUUUCCUUUUGACCAUUAUGCAUAACUUAUAAUUGUCAUCGAAAGUUUUGUGGCCACUGAACUGAAAUGUGUUUUUUCACCUUUCAGGAGAACUAGUGGUCCUAUUAGGCGAGCCAAAGGCGGUUGGACUCCACAAGAGGUCAGCAUUUCAUUUUGUACUUAUGUUCACUUGUUUGUAUUGUCAGCUAGAAGCAUGUACGUUUUCGUGUUUGUUACUGGAGGGAGAGGUUCAUUAGUCAGUCAUCAAAACAUCUAUCUUGAAAUUCUUGAAUCUGUCAUUGCUUUUAGACUAACUGGUUGUAUUACUUUUGUUAUCAGCACCCAUUUUCAUAUGUUGUGUUGCUGCUAUGAUCCGCAGAAAACAAAUGAAACUGGCAAUUAGAUCAAAAUAAAUUAUUGUUUUGACUAAACAGUUACAGUUAUGGAUUAGCAUGCUGAUCCUGUUUAUUUAGUCACAAUUCUUUUCAUUGCAUGAGUCUAACUUUUAAUAAAUGUUGGAUGACCACAGGACGAGACAUUAAGGAAUGCCGUUGCUGCUUUCAAGGGGAAGAGUUGGAAGAAAAUAGGUACAUCUGUCGCCUGAGUAUUGUUUCUGAUUUAUGUUGUUGGUUUCCAAGGCAGUUUUAGAAUGCAUCUUUUGGGUGGAUUUUGUGUAGUUACAUCUUUCCGUAGCUAUAGUGUUUUUAGGUAGCAGUGAGUCUGCUCAGGCAAUGUGUUCGCCUAAUCUUUUUAGUAAUAGAGAUCUUGAUAAAUUAAAAUAAAUCUAAUUUUGGUCGAAUGAUAAGCAUAUAGUCAGAGCUCUGAAAGUUCAAAGCAAACCCAUGAUAGAUGUCCCAAGAGUGUGAAACGUGACUGUUCAUUUAAUUGCCUGAUUUUCUAUUUACCUAUGUUGUGAAUUUUCUGUUGUACCUAAUAUUCAGGAAACCAAUCUAAAAUUUGAAUUUGAACAAUGUGUAUGCAGCUGAAUUUUUUCCUGAUAGAUCGGAAGUGCAGUGUCUGCAUAGAUGGCAGAAGGUUCUUAAUCCAGAACUUGUUAAAGGACCAUGGACUCAAGAGGUUGGAACCUGAUACCAUACUUGUAUUUCUUAAUAUGUUCUUGCAGUUUUGAUUCAAAAUUUCAACUUUCUCUAAAAUGUUUUGGUUUGUAGGAGGAUGAUAAAAUAAUUGAACUGGUAGCAAAGUAUGGACCUACUAAAUGGUCAUUGAUAGCAAAGUCUUUGCCUGGUCGGAUAGGAAAACAAUGCCGAGAGAGGUAAUCUUCAUAAGUUUUGAAUUAUCAUGAUGCUUUUAUCUGAUACCAUCGACCUAUAGUUACUAAUAAGUUCUUAUGUUAUUGUCAUAUGUGAUCCUGGAAAUUUUGACCACUAUUGUACUUACCUGAUUGAUCACAAGUGCCUAAAAGUGCUAUUUUGCUCUGGAAUUAACAUUUAUGCCAUUUGUUGCUUAAAUAGUUUUGUAUGAUGCUGUAUACAUUUUAAUGUUAUUUUUUCCGUAGGCUUGUAUCUUCCAAUUGAUUUGUUCGCGAAAAACAAUCAAAUGGUUUGGGUAGUCACUGCUUUUAUAAACAAUGAACCAUUUUUUCUCUUCAGGUGGCACAAUCAUUUGAAUCCUGAUAUAAAGAAGGAGGCUUGGACGUUGGAAGAGGAAUUAGCUCUUAUGAAGGCCCACCAGAUGCAUGGGAACAAGUGGGCCGAAAUAGCGAAGGUUUUACCUGGAAGGUAUGUUUCUUGUUUGAUUUGUCGUUUACGAAUGACAUUGAGGUGCUAAUUAGAGCAGCAACAUAUAGAUAUAUCAAAUUUCUAGGAUCACUGCUAAAUUGUGACAUCAAAAACUUCUGAAUUGUGGUCUUAUACCCAACUUUCGGUUAAAACUUUAUGAAGGAAACUCCCAAUUUCAAUGAGUAGUGCUAAUGCUGCCGUCUGGAAACCACUGUUACCUUAAAAAUUAAUCUUUUAAAUUGGAAACCACUGUUACCAAGUUCUUUAUUUUUGUUGUAUAUAACUUGGAAACCAUUGUUUACUAAGCCAAAUGUUGUAUGUAACUUAACGAUGUGUUUGCAGGACUGAUAAUGCAAUAAAGAAUCAUUGGAAUAGUUCCUUGAAGAAAAAACUUGACUUCUAUUUGGCUACUGGGAAACUUCCACCACCUCCGAAGUAUGGUGCCAAAGAGCCAAGAUCCAAUGCGACUAAAAAAAUACUUGUUCGUUCAACUAAAGGAUCAGAUUCAACUGCUCAGACAUCAUCUGGAAAUGCAGAAAUGUCUAAGCUAGAUGAAGAUGGAAAGGAUCAGUUCGAGUCCGCCGCUCCACCUCAGGAUAUGGGUGCUUCAUCAAGUGUUCACCCAAAUGAAUGUGCAGAUUCUGAAGGUGUAGAAUGUGACCUGAGAUUAUCUUUUAUGGAUCUUAGUUGCUCUAACUCAGACUCAGGGCCAAAGUUUGAUAAUUUUGGAGUAAAAAGAAAGCCUCAGAUUGAGAAUUCUGUCAGUAAUGGCCGGGCAGAGUCUGAGAAUUGUGGAUUUAGCAACCAAAUGGACGAAGACAGUGUUAAGACAACAUCUUUUCCGUUUGAAACUCCAAGAUAUGGUUCCUUGUACUAUGAGCCACCACCGCUAGAAAGCUCUGUCCAAUUCAAUUCAGGUUUUUCAAGCAUGCAUCGCUUGCAGAAUGAUUACACCUCUAGUCCAAAUUUAUCACCUAUAAGUUUCUUCACUCCUCCUUGUGUGAAGGGCAGUGGUUUAUGUAAUCAAAGUCCUGAAUCAAUUUUGAAAAUAGCUGCUAAGACCUUCCCCAAUACUCCUUCCAUUUUGCGAAAGAGAAAGACCAUUGGCCAAGGACAAUUGCCUUGUAAUAAAGUUGCAGUAGUGGAUUGUGAAUCAGUCAGGGAAAUGCUUAAUGUUUCUAGUGAACACAAAAACAGUGCGGAAGUUUCUGGAUCUCAAGAUGGAAGUUUAUGUGAGAGUCCAACUAGUAAUGGUAUCAGUACCAUUGGGCCUAAUGGUAAGGCGUUUAACGCAUCUCCACCAUACCGGUUAAGAGCCAGGAGGACUGCCGUUUUCAAGUCUGUGGAGAAACAGCUUGAGUUUACAUGUGAUGAAGAGUAUGAUGCUAAUUCUAUGUCCGUGGAAUUAUCUGCAAAUGGCGGCUCUGCUGUUAUCAAAGACUGUACACAUCCAACAAAGAUGGCUGUGACCUAGGGCAUGCACUGUAAGGUACACUUUUCUUAUCAUUGUUCUUGAACUUAUUUGUCUCUGAUCUAGUUUCUUAAAAUGCUAUCAUCAAAUAAAAUUUUAUGACCUUUGGUGUCGUCCUUUUUUAAUUAGUAUGUAUUGUUCGCACUUGGUAAACUGUUCUUCUAUUUUAGACGUCUCUGAUGCAAGAUCGCUAUAUGACAUAGAAUUGCUUAGUCAAGGAGUGAAUUAUGAUUGUAGAUUAUCUGGUCGUUCGAUUUUAUCCUGCCAUUAUAUUUGGAAUUACAUACCUUAUGAGAUAAAGGACAAGCUUGCAGAAGUAACUGAUAGAUUUUUGGUUUUCAGAGCAAGGAAUCAAAGUUGUCAUUCUUUCAUUCAGGAUUUUUAAGAGUUAGAUCUAUUUCCUCAUUCAUUUCGUUGUGUAGCCUUUGUUGCAAAAGUUAGAAAAGAGCGAAGCAAUCUUUUCCACUUUCUUACAGUAAAUUCAAAAUGAAAAAAAAAAAGAUUUGUGAAGUCCAUUAAAACAUUGGUGGUAUCGAAUCAGUUAAUCCGACAUCCAGAAUCCGAAGUGAUACAAUUUCAACUUUCGUUUCCAUGAAGCAGUUUUUAUUUUCUCACCGGCAGCUGUAAAUCUCUUUUCUUCUUUCUUCAUUUCUGACUUGGUUUCCUCUGGUUUAAUUCAGGGACAAAAGAGAGGGCGAUUCUUUUUGACGUUGGCUGACACUGUUGAACUGGUGAUAUUUCCAAGUCCACAGAGCUUUUGAACAGAGUGAUACUUCGAUUUACCGGACCAUUCUCUGGUCUCACAUCUUCAAUGCCUUACAAGUCAUUAACUUGCAAAUACACCACUUGUUAUUAGUUACGUGCGAGCGGUUUUUCGGCACGCCAACUUGACAAAAUACAGUGGCUGGGGCUUCUGUUAUGUGUAGAAUAAAAAUGAUAGGCCCCAAAUACUUGUGAAAAUAUAUUUUGGUUGUAUCAGGAUUUGUACAGAAAACCCCUCAUCAAAGGAGCCAUGAUGCUUCAUCCUUGAAGUUGAGGGAUUUCUCAAUGAAAGCUUAGCUCCUGUCAUUCUUUAUCAAUGUUUACAGUUACAACUCAACUUAAUUUCCCAUGGAGACACAUGUAUGCUUAGAAAUCAUUUUUAUUAAGUGGUCCUGGAAAUCUUAGGGUUACUCUUUAUUGCGCCAAUUAUUUUUUAUUUAGGGUUUGUUUGAUAUCCCUUCUAUUUUUUUGUUGUUGGAUCAUCUUCAAUAUUUAGAGGUCGCACUUGGUGCGAUGGCAAGUGCCUUCGCCCAUGAGCGGUAGGUCUCGGGUUCGAGACUUGGGAGCAACCUCUUCAUAAAUGGGGGUAAGGCUAGCCGACAUUCACCUCUCCCAGACCCUACGUAAAGCGGGAGCCUUGUGCACUGGGUACGACUUGGAUCAUCUUCAAUAUUUGGGGGGUUAAAACCUAGAAGCUAAAGCUAGGGCGUCACCCGUAAGUGGCGCGCUGUGUGGCCCGAGCACAGUGAUAAAUGAGCAAGGGUCGCUGUAUCUCCAUCGGCACCCGGAUGCAGUGUUAAAUGAGCAAGGGGGCCAUAGAAACUUCUUUUCGAACGACUCCACUCAAAGUUGUUUGGGAGCAUAUGCUCCUAUCAACUUUACACGGGACACACAAAAGAAGUACUUUGAUCCUAUUAGACGGGGGAGGGUGAAGAAGCUAGGACAGAAGGGUAGAGUUCAAGAGAGCAAAAUGCGUUUAGGAACGUGGAAUAUAGGAACCUUAACGGGAAAAUCUAUGGAAGUAGUGGAAGUUAUGGUGAGGAGAAGGAUAAAUAUUAUGUGCCUACAAGAAACUAAGUGGGUUGGUAGUAAGGCAAAGGAUCUAGAAAACUCAGGGUUUAAACUUUGGCAUUCGGGCACAAAUAGAACGAGAAACGGUGUUGGCAUCAUCGUGGACAAGACCUUGACACAAGAUGUUGUAGAUGUCAAGAGGGUAGGAGAUAGAAUCAUAGGCAAUCAAGAUUGUAAUAGGACAAGAACUUAUCAAUGUGAUUAGUGCGUACGCACCUCAAGUAGGGUUGGAUAAGAGUUCGAAGGAGAAAUUUUGGGAAGACCUUGGAGACUUGGUGCAAGGAAUUGCUCAGACGGAGAAGUUAUUUAUAGGAGGAGAUUUAAAUGGACACGUGGGCAGGGAGACAGGCAACUAUGGAGGUUUCCAUGGUGGCCAUGGUUUUUGGGGAGAGAAACGAGGAUGGGGAAGCUAUCUUGGAUUUUGCAAUGGCAUAUGAUCUCUUCUUAGCCAACACCUUCUUUAAGAAGAGAGAAGAACAUGUGAUCACCUACAAGAGUGGGUCGUCAAAAACACAAAUAGAUUUUCUUCUAAUGAGGAAAGGGGAUCGUAUAACUUGUAAGGAUUGCAAAGUUAUACCAGGAGAGAGCGUGGCUAAUCAACAUCGCUUGUUGGUGAUGGAUGUACAUAUCAAAAGAGUGAGACAAAAAGAACAAGACUUGGAAGUGCCCAAGGACUAGAUGGUGGAAUCUAAAAGAAGAAAAACAAGUCAUUUUCAAAGAGAAAGUAAUCACCCAGUGUGUGUGGGAUAGAGAGAGGGGAAGCUAGCCAAAUGUGGGAUUCCAUGGCUAGUUGUAUUCCGAAAAGUAGCAAAAGAGGUAUUAGGAGAGUCCAAAGGGCUUUGCCCCACACCAAAAGGAAUCUUGGUGGUGGAAUGAGGAGGUACAAACAAAGGUGAAGGCUAAGAAGGAAUGUUGUAAAGCCUUAUACAAGGAUAGGACCGAUGAAAAUGGUGAAAGGUAUAGAAAAGCGAAGCAAGAGGCGAAGAAAGCUGUGAGAGAAGCUAAGUUAGCGGCUUAUGACGAUAUGUAUAAGCGACUAGAUACCAAAGAAGGAGAGUUGGAUAUCUAUAAACUAGCUAGAGCAAGGGAAAAGAAGACAAGGACCUAAACCAAGUGAGGUGCAUCAAGGAUGAGGAUGGAAAGGUUCUUGCUACAGAGAACGCGGUUAAAGACAGAUGGAAAGGUUAUUUUCAUAAUCUUUUCAAUGAAGGACAUGAAAGGAGUGCUUCUUUAGGGGAGUUGAGUAACUCAGAAGAGUGUAGAAACUACUCUUUUUAUCGUAGAAUCCGGAAGGAAGAAGUGGUUGUAGCUUUGAAGAAGAUGAAGCAUAGAAAAGCAGUAGGCCCAGACGAUAUACCAAUCGAAGUGUGGAAAGUUUUGGGAGAGACAGGUAUAACAUGGCUCACUGACCUUUUCAAUAGGAUUUUGAAAACGAAGAAGAUGCCAAAUGAGUGGCGAACGAGCACUUUGGUGCCUAUCUACAAGAAUAAGGGCGACGUACAAAAUUGCAUGAACUAUAGGGGUAUUAAGCUAAUGAGUCAUACAAUGAAGCUCUGGGAGAGAGUCAUUGAGCAUAGAUUGAGGCAAGAGACACGGGUUUCGGACAACCAAUUCGGGUUCAUGCCAGGGCGCUCAACCAUGGAGGCAAUCUAUCUCUUACGAAGAUUGAUGGAAAGAUAUAGAGAUGGGAAAAAGGAUUUACACAUGGUCUUUAUAGAUUUGGAAAAAGCGUAUGAUAGGGUCCCAAGAGACAUUCUUUGGAGGAUUUUAGAGAAGAAAGGAGUACGAGUAGCAUAUAUCCAAGCUAUAAAGGAUAUGUAUGAAGGAGCAAAGACUGCCGUAAGAACUCAUGAAGGACAAACCGAAAGCUUUCCCAUAACUGUAGGAUUACAUCAAGGCUCAUCCUUAAGUCCUUACCUUUUUGCGUUGGUAAUGGAUGAGUUAACAGGACAUAUUCAAGAUGAUAUUCCUUGGUGUAUGCUUUUCGCAGACGAUAUAGUGUUGAUAGAUGAAACUCAGGAAGGGGUAAAUGCAAAGCUUAACCUUUGGAGAGAAGUGUUGGAAUCUAAAGGUCUUCGCCUAAGCCGAUCAAAGACAGAAUAUAUGGAGUGCAAGUUCAGUGCAAAUGGAGGCCAAAACGAGUUAGGGGUGAGGAUCGGAGAUCAAGAAAUACCAAAGAGCGACCGUUUUCGUUACCUAGGAUCUAUCUUGCAAAAGAACGGAGAAUUAGAUGGAGAUCUCAACCAUAGAAUACAAGCUGGAUGGAUGAAGUGGAAGAGUGCAUCCGGCGUGUUGUGUGACCGCCGUAUGCCACUGAAGCUCAAGGGAAAAUUUUAUAGGACGGCAAUAAGGCCGGCGAUGCUGUAUGGCACAGAAUGUUGGGCGGUGAAGCAUCAACACGUACACAAAAUGGGUGUAGCGGAGAUGAGGAUGCUUCGUUGGAUGUGUGGGCACACGAGAAAGGAUAAGAUUAGGAAUGAGGAUAUCCGGGGUAAAGUAGGAGUAGCCGAAAUUGAAGGAAAGAUGAGAGAAAAUCGGUUACGGUGGUUUGGACAUGUGCAAAGAAGGCCUACUGACGCUCCGAUUAGAAGAUGCGACUAUGGGACAGAGGUUCAGGGCCGAAGGGGUAGAGGAAGACCUAGGAAAACUUUGGAAGAGACUCUAAGAAAAGACUUAGAGUACUUGGAUCUAACGAAGGACAUGACACAGGACCGAGCACAAUGGCGUUCUAAGAUUCAUAUAGCCGAUCCCACUCAGUGACUUGGAUUUUCCAAGUCUCCAACCGAGAAGUUUUCCUCACUCGGGAAAUUAAGGGAACACUACCUCAACCUACAUGCUCCACUCAGAAAGCUUCAACAUACAAGCUUCAACAAAAAGAAAAUUCAAAGAACUUAGCGAAGAAGGCUUUGGUGUAUUUAACACAAUACGUUGAAAUGAAGGAAAGCUUAUUUAUUGAUAUCCCCGAUAAGCUUACAAAUAUGUACAUAUACAUGAGUCAAAAUAAACAAACAAGAGGGAGCCUUCACAAAGGUUGCUUAGGAGAAGUCUCAGCAGUCGGUAGAGCCCCAGAAAGAGAAGGCACCGGAGGGGGAUCAUUCGGAGCCUCAGUACUGGACAGAACCCUAGAAGGAGGAGGCAUCAGAGGUUGAUCAUUUGGAGCUUCAUUACGCGGUACAGCCCCAGAAGACGAAGGCAAUAAAAUGCCUUUGGAACAAACCCACAAAUCUCUGAUGAUCAAGUAAAACCUGACCAUCAGUUUCCUUCAUCUGGUCAAGCUUCCUCUUCAUGUUUGUAGCAUAGUCAUGUGCGAGCCGGUGCAACUGUUUAUUCUCAUGCUUGAGCCCUCUAAUCUCCUGUUUGAGACUCAUCACUUCAGCCGCCAAUGAUUCAACUUGGCGGGUUCGAGCAAAUAGGCGUUGGGCCAUAUUAGACACAGAACCUGCACACUGAACACUGAGAGCCAGAGAAUCCUUAACAGCUAACUCAUCAGACCGUUUGGAAAGUAGUCUGUUAUCUUUGGGAGUGAGAAGGUUCCUGGCCACCACCGCAGCGGUCAUAUCAUUCUUCAUCACGGAAUCCCCAACGGUAAGAGGACCAGUAGGGGAGACGAAGGAUGGGCGCCAUAUGUUGUCUGGAGAAGGCGGGGCUGCCUCUUCAACAAGGUUCAAGUCAAAACGACGGUCGGAGGGGCCAGACAUUUUCAAAGGUGUUGAAGAGAGAAGAGGUCGGACAAAUCAAGAUCUUAGAAGUGCAAGAAUGGAGCUUCUACUGGUGGAGAUUCAAGUGUGCUUUGGAACUUAAUGCCAGCCCCUAUAAAAAUCUGCACUCGACGGAAGCUUCAGAAAUCGAAGAGGCGCCUGCUCAGAAAUCGAAGAGGCGUUUGCUUUCUCAAAAGCUGGGCUGCUCAGAGACCACGAGGGUUGAUCUCAGAAAUCGAAGAGGCGUUUGCUUUCUCAAAAGUUGGGCUGCUCAAAGACCACGAAGGCCGAUCUCAGAAAUCGAAGAGGCGCUCGCUUUCUCAAAAGCUGGGCUCCUCAGAGACCACGAGGGCCGAUCUCAGAAAUCGAAGAGGCACCUACUUUUCCAGCCUUGUCAGCACCUGUCACACACGCACACUCAGCUUUGCGGAAAUUAUGGGCAUUCUGUCGAAGACUUUCUGAGGAAGUAGAAAACACAUGAAUCUUACUGUUCAAUCACCCACUUCCCACACGCAACAAUAGCUCAUGGGUACCACAGAUAACUUUGCCAAAGUUCUCUGCCAAAGUUGAGCACGUGAAGCUUGCAGCUCCCACUACAUCGCUCUGACCAAGAAAGGGUAAAAGAAUAGCAAAGAAACAGCACUAACAAAGUUUAGACCCAUAAAUUUUGAAGGUCUAGCUACCAUAUUAUUACCCACAAGGGUAAAGGAACAGUACCACUGCUGGAUAAUUGGAAAGUCCCUGUGUGUCAACCUCUGUGCUUCGUGGCAAGGUAGACUAGCAAACAUGCCCAACCUUUACUCACAUUCGAGAAAACACUACCCAAUAAGAUUGCUUGCUCCAAAAUCGAAGAGGCACCGUCCUCCGAAUCUCGAGAGCCAGACUCCCAACAUGACUACUUUCUCAAAAAAUCGAAGAGAGGGUAAAGGAACAGUACCAUUGCUGGAUAAUUGGAAAGUCCCUGUGUGUCAACCUCUGUGCUUCGUGGCAAGGUAGACUAGCAAACAUGCCCAACCUUUACUCACAUUCGAGAAAACACUCCCAACAAGAUUGCUUGCUCCAAAAUCGAAGAGGCACCGCCCUCCGAAUCUCGAGAGCCAGACUCCCAACAUGAUUACUUUCUCAAAAAUCGAAGUGACACUGCUCCCCGAAUCUCGAGAGCCAGACCCCCAUCAUGAUUGCUUUCUUAAAAAAUCGAAGAUGCAUCGUUCUCCGAAUCAAUCGAAGAGACACUCGCUUUCUCAAAAGCUGGGCUGCUCAGAGACCACGAGGGCCGAUCUCAGAAAUCGAAGAGGCACCUUCUUUUCUAGCCUUGUCAGCACCUGUCACACGCACACUCAGCUUUGCGGAAAUUAUGGGCAUUCUGUCGAAGACUUCUCGAGAGCCAGAUACGACAGACCACUUUUUCAAAGUGCUCUGACAGAGUUAAAACAUGUGAAGCUGGCAGCUCCCACUACCGUGCUAUGACCAAGCAGGGUAAAGGAAUAGCAUUACUACUUGUUGUUAGGGAGACUCCUAUAUAUGUCGACCUCCAUCUCCAACGGACAGGCAGACCUGCAAAAAUGUUCAACCCUUCCUCAUAUCUGAGAGGGCACUCCCAACGAAGCCUUUCGAAAUAUUCAGCUUUCUUUCCCCCCGAUAAUACCUUUGCAAACAAGCUAUACUAGAGCAAGAAUAUCUCAUAUCAUCAGGGUUAAAAGCAAGAGUAUCCCAUAUCAUGCUUUUUCCCUGUCUUUUCCUUUGGCCUUGUUGUUACCUGCAAGACAAGGAGAAAGAGAGCAAUCAGUCAGCACUUGGAAUCAAGCUUCCAGCCAGGAACUGACUGCCUGGAACCCCUUACCUGAUUACUUACCUGGCAUUGCUCUCGAGUACUCAUCUUCAACAUCUUAUGUUUCCAGGGAAGAUACCGCAUCUGCUUGAGGAACAGAUAGGGCAAGUGCGAAGGAUACAAGGAAGCAUGUGGAGACAAGCGUAACAGCACACGUGCCGAUACAUCCAUUACUCUGUCAAAAGCAAAAGUAUCCCAUAUCAGCAGGGUCGAACGUACUCUAGAUUUGAUGGACUUGUUUUGACCCUCAAAUUCUUCAGUCGGCUCUGGAGGAAACCAGAAAACCCUCCAGCUCAGUUCAAGAAUAAGCCUGUGGAAAGUUACUUCUUCAAAAGCAAAAGUAUCCCAUAUCAUCUCUUCUCAUCUUUCUUCUCUUUAUCCUUCAUGCUGCCUGCAAGAUAGGGAGAAGGUGAACAAUCAGCCGGAGCUCUGAUUGCUUACCUUGUCUGUCACCUCUUUCAGCAGAUCCCCUAGCUCGGCGACUUAGGAGACUCCUACUACAUGGUUUGUAUCGCGCUUGACCAAGCCUGAAACUACAAGUAAGCUUCAAGUGAAAUUGAUACAUUACCUUGUGCAUCUCCACCAGUUAAAGAUACCACCCCUGGAUGGAGGAAGAGUACUUCCAGAGAAGAUGCCACAUCUACCUAUGAGACAGAUAAGGCAAGUCAAGACGAUACCACACUCCGAUACUUAGAAGUUUCGUGAUUACGAGAUCAUUCUCUCCACAAUAUUUCCUAAUGUCAUUUGUACUAAAUCAUUCACUUGUACUCACUAAAGGAGAGCUUGAACCUAUGUACUUGUGUAAACCCUUCACAAUUAAUGAGAACUCUUCUAUUCCGUGGACGUAGCCAAUCUGGGUGAACCACGUACAUCUUGUGUUUGCUUUCCUAUCUCUAUCCAUUUAUAUACUUAUCCACACUAAUGACCGGAGCAAUCUAGGGAAGAUCACAAAAAGCGACCGUUUUUGCUGCCUAGGAUCUAUCUUGCAAGAGAACGGAGAAUUAGAUGGAGAUCUCAACCAUAGAAUACGACCUGGAUGGAUGAAGUGUAAGAGUGCAUCCGGCGUGUUAUGUGACCGUCGUAGGUCACUGAAGCUCAAGGGAAAAUUUUAUAGGACGACAAUAAGGCCAACGAUGUUGUAUGGCACAGAAUGUUGGACGGUGAAGCAUCAACACGUACACAAAAUGGGUGUAGCGGAGAUGAGGAUGCUUCGUGGGAUGUGUGGGCACACGAGAAAGGAUAAGAUUGGGCAUGAGGAUAUCCGAGGUAAAGUAGGAGUAGCCGAAAUUGAAGGAAAGAUGAGAGAAAAUCGGUUCCGGUGAUUUGGACAUGGGCAAAGAAGGCCGACUGACGCUCCGGUUCGAAGAUGUGACUACGGGACAGAGGUUCAGGGCCGAAGGGGUAGAGGAAGACCUAGGAAAACUUUGGAAGAGACUCUAAGAAAAGACUUAGAGUACUUGGAUCGAACGGAAGACAUGACACAAAACCGAGCGCAAUGGCGUUCUAGGAUUCAUAUAGCCGACCCCACUUAGUGGGAAAAGGCUUUGUUGUUGUUGUUGUUGUUGUAUAUUUGAUUAUAUUCAAUCUCAGCAUUGGAUUUAAAAUUUUAAAAUUUAAAAAAUUAAAUAGGUUUGAAUCCAACGGUCCAAUAAUUAAAACCGACGGUUUGAAAAGAGUUGUUGGCUCGUUUUGGGUGGGUGGCCUAACAUUCUCGUUAGGAGCGGGCUCCACAUUCAGUUAGCCUUCACGUGAUGGGCGCGUUGCCUUACUGUGGCCUCCACUUUUAUGGGUGUGUCCAUGUGCAUAAGGUGGGCCAGCCUUCCCUGGCCGGAAUUCUGGGUUAAAUUUGCCAAAAUUUUAGUUUUUAACUCAAAACUUAUUUUAGGCUCAACUCUUGGAAAAGAAUUGAGUUAGUUUUAAACCAAAAUUUUAGGUUUUAACUAAAGGAUUGGAGAUGGUCGUAUUUAGUUUUCAUUUAUAAAAAGGUGAAAAAUAAGAGAUUUCGUAGUAUUAUUCAAGGAAUUUGAAGCUGGGAUUAAUUUUUUGGUCGGUAGGUCGCUAGGGUGGUCCAAUGGUCUCAGGGCUUGAACCGGAUUCACGUUAUUGCUUGGGCCGGUCCAAGUCGGUAGGCCCUAGACAUCAGAUAUUGUUACAUGGAGUGAAACAUGUUUUGUGCGUUCCUCAAAUCACUUCUAUGAGUAAUGCUAGUAACAACAACAAAUAAAAAUUUUACGUCACAAAACAUGAGUUUUCCUCGAGUAAUAACUUUUUGGUCUAAUUGGAUUAAUGGUCCUCAUGGUGAUAUGAUAAUUGGAAGAUAAUCCUUGUGGUAAAAAAAUUCGGAUUUAAACCCAUGUGGUGAAGUUCGUUAGGAAUUAAGCCCAAAUCAAAAUUUUCGUUAAUUAGUUUGUCUGUUAAGUUCUUCUUCUUAUCCCAGAAGAGAAAUAUCUAGUUUCAUAGAUAUGCAACAAGCUCCCUUUGCCAAGGGAUCUAGCUUAAAAUCUUAUUGGCUUCAUCCUUGCUGUAGACUGCCCUGUGGAUAAAGUUUCCUGCUAUGUAUCUGACGAUGGUGUUGCCAUGCUUACCUUCGAAUCUCUUGCCGAGACAUUUGAAUUUGCAAGAAAGUGGGUACCAUUCUGCAAGAAAUAUUUUUCGAUUAAAUCAUGUGCACCUGAGUUUUACUUCUCACAAAAAAUUGACUACUUGAAGGAUAAAGUGCAACAAUCUUUUGUGAAGGAGCGCAGAGCGAUGAAAGUAAGUACCUAAUGGCCGAAGCUUCUUCUAGUUGCAACUGAAUAUUCACUCAUGAUAAUUUGAUAUCAAAACUAAAUGAAAGCAAGCAUGCUAGUUGUUCGGCUAUGGGCUUAUUACAAUAAAAAUCAAGCAUGUAAAAGUAAUGAAGCAAAGAAGAUCUAGAGUCGGAUCCAUUGGCAAAAGGAGCUUGCUGCAUAUCUAUGAAACUAGAUGUUUCUUUAAAAAAAAACACACACACACACAACUUGAUGAAGAAACUAACAGAAAUUUUGAUUUUGGGCUUAAUUCUUAACGGACUUCACCACAAGAGUUUAAAUCUGAAUUUUUUAUCACAUGGACUAUCCUCUGAGUACCAUAUCACCACGAGGAUCAUUUAUCCAAUUAGGCCUAACUUUUUUCUUUUGCAAAAAAUAAGAAAGCUAACUUUUUAUAUCUCAUAUAAAAUAAAAUUUUAUUUUAUUUCAGUGUAAUUGGGUAUUAUCCAACUUCUUUAGGUUUUUGGCAUGAAUUUACACAUUGUAAGGAAAGCUCCCAUCACUUAAUGUCGUUUUCUUCACAGGGAUAUGAAGCAUAUCCCACUUAACCCCAUUUUUAUCGGGGGAUGAAGCACUUAAUUAACUUUUUAGCAGAAAAAUUUCUUGUUCGAGCCUCAACACAAUCAAAACACUUUUCUUAAAGGUUGAAAAUAAUAAGCAAGAUAAAAACUCCCUAAAAAAGCACUUUUUUUGCAAGAGAAGAAAUAAGCACUUUUAGGACUUCUUACCCAUUUGUCCAUAUUUUCUUAUUCUAGACCGUAUAUUUUUAUUGUAUUUAUAUUAUUUUGUUGCGUACCCUAAACUUCCAUUUAAGUCAUAGCAUUCUCGAUUCAAAAGAAAAUUCAACUCCUAUAAAUACAUGCAGUUUUCCUUCUCUCAAAUUACUACCUUGAAAGAACUCAACAGUCCAUCCAAAGUUACAAAGAAUUGUUGACAACAGUUCAGAUAGCAUGCAAAGCAGCUCUAUUUCGCAUUCUCAAGCAACCUCAAGCUCCUGUCGCUCUAACUUAAUGGGUACGUCUGCAUGACCUUUCGUUUCCAAAUUCGAUAUGAAAGUUAUAUACUUGUUCCCAAUUUUUUGUUUUCCGGUACAAACUCUAUCUUUGUUCAAUUUAUUAUACGAAAAUUUGAUACGGAACUUUAUGGAAUUGAAACUGAUUGUUUUAAUUUGGAUUUUUUAAUGCAGUUGGCUAUUGGGCUUUUGUGUUCUUAUUCUUAGCAUCUAUUGCUAAUGCGAAAGCCGAAGUCUUUUAUGUGACAAAUUCAACAUAUGGAGGAAACCCUAGCGGCGAUAUUACGCUUGCUUUGGCUGACGCUUGGAGAGCUGCCUGUUCAUCGCCAUGGCCAGCCAAAGUUGUUAUUCCAGAAGGGGAAUACUACUUAAGAGGAGCAAUUUUACAUGGUCCAUGCAAAUCUCCCAUUGAGGUUCAAGUUCAAGGGUAUUUGCGUGCUCCACAAGAAAGCAGCCAACUCCUUCAACAGAAUACUUGGGUUGGCUUUCAAUACGUUGACAGGCUCACCUUAUUUGGUGGUGGAACUUUUGAUGGCCAAAGUAAUUGCCACAAAUAUAAAAGUUGCCAAUCCAACAGAGUAUUUGUAAGGACAUUGUAAUCAAUCCUUGCUUUUGUUUACUUAAGUCGAUUUUUAUCGUUUAUUUAAUUAUAUGUCGCUAAUACUUGUUUUGUUUUAAUGCAGAAUUUGAGGUUUGAUUUUGUCACAAAUUCAGUGAUCGAGGGCAUAACUUCACUAGAUAGCAAAAAUUUCCACAUCAAUGUUUUUGCAUGUCGCAAUGUUACAUUCCAAUAUGUUACUAUCACCGCACCUGAAGACAGUGUCAACACAGAUGGAAUUCACAUCGGGAGAUCGUUUGGGGUCACCAUUGAUCACACAAUAAUUGGAACAGGCGACGACUGCAUUUCUCUUGGUGACGGUAGCCAGAACAUUGUCGUGACCAACGUUACUUGUGGACCAGGGCAUGGCAUAAGCAUCGGGAGCCUAGGAAAGUAUCCAGACGAAGAGCCCGUGGUUGGAGUCAGAGUGAAGAACUGCACACUCACUAACACACAAAAUGGUGUGAGAAUCAAAACAUGGCCGGGUUCUCCAACAUUUACAACUGCCUCGCAUAUUCACUUUCAAGAUAUUAACAUGGUAAAUGUUAGUAACCCUAUUUCUAUAGACCAAGAGUACUGCCCUUACACUUAUUGUGGAAAAGAUGAUCCAUCCAAAGUCAAGAUAAGCGACAUCAGUUUCACCAACAUCAAGGGCUCAUCUGCAACCCCAGUUGCAGUCAAGCUUAUGUGCAGUAGAAAAAUACCGUGUGAUGGAGUCGGGUUGACUGACGUGGACCUCACGUACAUCGGAAGCAAAGGCCCUCUCACCUCUCAAUGUGCUUAUGUCAAGCCCUACAUUACUCGCGUGGCGAAUGCUCUUGCUUGUGCUACCUGGUCAUAUUCUAAUAGUCUAAGAAGUGGAAGAAAUCUCACUAAUCUUCUCACUAGAUAGUUUGCUGCUUCUCUGGUUUUGUUUGAUGGUAUAUCAUGUAAGAGGUAGAAAAUAGGUAGUAUUGGGCUUAGUGAAUGUGUGUCUUUUGCUUUUGAUUUAGGGUUACAUUGGUUCCCGACCUAGGUUUAUGGGUCUGGGGCGGAAUCUAUGAUUGUGGCCCUUUGAACGCACUAUAAUUUCAUCAGUAAAUAAAAAAUAAAUAAAAAAUAAAGUUUUAUCAACACGGUUGCAUUUUUUUUAGCUUAAAACAUCAUUAGUAUUCAUUCAAAAUGGAUUAGCUAAAAUGAGCAUGAUUCCCUUUGAAUCCUGGGGAUUUGAUCCGUGAUGCUUUAUUUGAAGAUUAUACUAUUUAAUCAUCAAUAAAAUGUUAAUGAUCUAGUCGUACCAUGAACACACUUCUUUUUUGGUGCAGUUUUUGCUCACCGACUUUUUGAAAUUUGUGUCUAUUUACUACACCGAUCUCAAAAUUUAAACUCAUUCAACAAUGAUAAAAAAGGUGAUGAGCAUCACCAUUACUUAGUGGUGAGGAAAAAUUGGUUUGAGCCAAAUCAAACUAAAAAGUCUAGGAAGGCGAAUAAAAAUCUGGAUCGAUCUUCCAAUUGGAACAUACGAUCAAACUCAACAUGGUAAAAGGUGCUUUUAUUAAUUUAAUUGGGUGUAAGGAAUUUCUGUUGUGAUAAUAAUUUCCAAAACAAAAUAAUGGUUUAAAAGAUUAUAAAAAACAUUUAAGCUUAAUUAGUUAAGUUUCAACGCAUCACAUCUCAAAACACAGCGAAACUCAGAUCUUGAUCAAGCACCUGGAGUCGAGCAUGAACAGCAUCUGAAAAUUUGAUGGCAAUUCAUUUUCCGACCAUUUUGCCGGAGUGCGUAAAAGGACGUACCGUGUAAAUAUUAGCCUAAACUCGAAGCCAAUUCUUUUUAUUUUCAAACUUUAGCGCUAUGGAAACCUUUAAGGGAAAUCAAAGGAAAUGCCUUUUAACAACUGGAAGUCUCUAUUAACAGUACACAAGUCACACUCUCCAUCUUCCCCCUCCCUCCCUCCCUCCCUCCCUCCCCCUCAGCUCUCUGGAGAUAAAAAGAAUGCUUUUUAACAAAUUAAAUAACAGAGAGUGAGAGAACGAGCGGACGAGCGACCGAGCGGGGGCUCCUUUCCUCAAAUCCUAAAGCAUGCAAAUGCCGCUACCCAGAAAUCAGUGGCUCAUGACUGAUGGUAUAACUUUUAUGUACAACCGUUUGAUGGACAACUCCCUGUGAAGAUAGUUUGCAGCCAGCCUUCAGCUUUCAGCAUCAUAUCGAACUGUACAUGCAUAAAACAACGGAUGGAACAACCUGCCGCCGACAAACUGGUCUUCCCUUGGGACCAAAUUUUCAACCUGCUGAGAGGAAUACCCCAAGCAUCUGCCGGUGUAGGUAACAAGAUAUUUAGUAACAGUACGAUUUAACAAGCAAACUAAAAGCAACGGUGAUGAUAAAGAGAACAAAGAGUGUUCUGUAUUUUUCAGAAUUGGAAUAAUUAUAGGAUCACCUGUAGCCACUAACCUCAAUGUGCAGUUAACUGAACCAUUGAUCCAAGGUCCAGAUUUAUUGUCAGAAGUGGAUAUUCUCUGCUGCUAUCAAGAAUCCUUUGCCAUCAAUCUGCGUCAAACAUAUAUACCACCUGAGAUGCCAAAAGAGAACAUUCAGCAUCGUGAAUAAAAUCGGACUAACACGGAACUUGGUAACAUGAUGAACUACCAUCCAUGAAGUUCAUGAUUGUCUUUACCUAAAAAUCCAAACUAAACCAUGAAGAAAGAACCAAUUGUAGUUUGUCCAAGGACCUUGGAGCUUCGAUCAAGGCCAUGAGAAGCAACCUUCCAUGCAAAACAUAAACCAUUUACCAUAAAACUUAGAUCCAAAACAGGAAAUAGUUUCAAUUUGAAGUUUGGAACGUAUAAAUUAAGGAUUCUUCAAAAUGAACUUGCAGAUAAAGCUCAACACAUGCCCUUCACUUGAGAAAUUUCAACACAAGGUUUAGUUACAAAUCAUGGAUGGUGGGGGUAGGCAAGGGGCUCCAAGUGGAUGGUGGGGGUGAGGCAAAGGGCUCGAAGUGGAGGGUAGAAGGGAGCGUGAGAGAGGGGGCCAAACUCUUUUUUUCAGAUUUAUUUCUUAAAUGAGUAAUGAGGGUACAAUGGGAAUAACGAGAUUACCAUAAACUGUUGAGUGACAAUGGGUUUCUUCAACAUUUACUACAUUAAAGAAAACAUUAUGCAAAAUUAAGAACGUGGCAAAAGAUUCUCACCAAGUAAGUUAAAGCUGCAUAGCGUUCCUCGUUCAAGUACAGUGGCUUUCCUCUGUGCAUUUCAACAUCCUGCAAUAACAAAAUUUACAAUAUGAUACACAGAAAGCAUAAACCCCUAGAAAUCAAUGAAUGCACUAAAAGCACAAAUAAGAACAGGAGCGUCCACAAGUACUACUUCCAACAUCUUCGUCUUCCAUUUUACAUUUUCUUUUUGAGGGUUUUGGGCUGAUGGAAGAAUAAAACUGCAAAGCGACUUUUGCAUUUUAUUCAGAAAAACCGUAUGCAAUAAAAGGGGGAAAUUUCUUUUUUCUUUUUUAUUUUUUUUAUUUGACUUGGGGGUUGGAGAUUUGAGCUAAGCCACACAAUGGGCUAGCCAUAAUUAAGUAUUUCCCUUGGGAGUUGAACCUGAGACCUCCUACUUACAAGUGCAAAGGAAUACCAUUAAACAGCAGUUCAAGUGGCAGAAAAGGGGAAAUAUCUAAACUGCCUGAAAGGAGCUCCAUGAAAUGCAGUAUCAAACAUUCUUUUGCUUCAUUCUAUAGAUGUAAAACUCCAAACUGAAAGAGGAGAUAUGCAACUAUAGUGGGUGGAUGGCAUAAUGAGAACAUCCUCUAAAAACCGAUGCCCCAUUCCUCCUCUUGCCAAAGCAAUAAAAAUAAAAGGCAUUUCACAAGUAAGCCCUUGAAACCAUAAAGAUGAAUGACUUGCUAAAAAGUCCUAUAAUGCAAAAUAUCUCUAAGGACCCUAGGCUCAAACCUGUAUGACUUCCAGGAUCAGAGCAGCUAAUUUGUAAGAUGGAUAGACAAGGGUUCACUAGAAUAUGGUAUGAUUAUUUUGUCAUUUCAAAUUGUUUACAAGGGAAGAUGAUGAAAGAAAUAGAGGAAUACAAUAGCAGAAACCAAUUACCUCUUCUCCAAAAGCAUCCAAGUAGGGCGAUGGCCAAGGAGCUUGCCGUGCAGACCUCUGCAGCAGAAUUGUUGUCCUCUGGAUUCACAGCAAAAAAAAUUAAUCAUCUCCGCAAACAAGAAUAGACAUAGAAACAAAAUUAAAAGAUCUGAAAGGCAGGAUUCCAAACAUAAUUAUUAAAAAAAGGAACCACAAUGCAUACCCUGAUCAACAGAAAUACACCAGUACCAGAACCACAGGACACUGCAUGAGUUUGGCAUCCACUUUCCCUAAGAUAAAACAUCAAAUUUAGCAAUGAUGGAGCAAUGGGCAUAAACAUUCUCUAUUGAUGGAUGCACCUAAAUGGAUAAUUUAUCUGAUAAUAACGACAUAUAUUAGUGAAUACAUACCUGCAACAUGACUUCCAGCUUGGAGAACAUAAUCUCCCACAAAGCAAGCACAAUGCAGGGUCAUCAAGGAUAUUUUUGCAAUCAGGACAACGCUGUUUUAUGUACCUGCAAAAACAUAACCUUUCUGAGUAAAUUUUAAUUCUCGAGAGAUCCUUUUAAAAGACAAGAACUCCAGUAACAAACCAAGAAGCAAUUCAACUAACCUCUGCAAUAGGUCCUGGUAAACUUGGGGAAGACGCAUCAAUUGGAAGGGAACUGCAGGGAUACAGUGCAUGCUUCCCUGAAAUCUUUGGACUUCAAACUCCUUCCGAAAAUGAUGGAACCAUUUCUGAGUUAUUGAACGUACCACAUUAUCCUUAAAGAUAACAUCCAGAGAAGGAAUCUUUAACUUGCUUUCUAUUUCCUGAACAUCAUUUAGCUCCACUAGUGCGACAUAAGUGGUGUCCAUCAUGUCACCAAUAGCAUGAGAUCUAUCCAAGACAUUAUACCUUUCAUGGAAUGGUACUCGGGAACAGGAGUUCAAUAGCUUCAACAGCAAUGCACACCUCCGCAAAUAAGGGAAACUCAGGCUACGAACUAUGUUCUUGAUAUUAGGAGAAGAGCCAAUAUAAUUUGAAACAAAAAAUUGCUGAGUGGCUCCAGAUUCUUCCAUAAGUUUAGAGAGGUCAGUAACCAGGCAAUCAUCAAUACCUAAUCCACUAAUGUCACAUUGAUUUUUCCCACAAUAUGUCAUUAUGCCCUGCAUUCACCAUAAUGAAUUAGGCCACUAGAUGUUUUUAAUGCUACUUAAGAAUUAUGAGAAAAAAAAGAAAGAAGAAGAGGUGCCGCUAACAUACCUGAACUACAGAGACAACAUAAAAUAAGUGCACUAGGGACAACAAUGAAUCUUCACAUGAUAAAAAUCGGUAUGGAAGACAAAAAAGAACCCACAUCAAUGAUGAAAAAGGAUCGCGAGCAAGGACAGGAUCAGAAGCUCGCCUCCAGAACUGAAUAUCAGGAUACGAUACUGCCAGAUCAGCAUAUUCCAAGAUACGCAGCAUAGCACCUGUGAAACAUAGCAUUGAUGAGGAUUUAACCGAAUAAAGUAAAAUGCUUCAAAUUUUGGCAAGCAUAACACCUAAAAUUUUGCACAUGUGAAACUUGAAUGCUUAAUAGUUCUUUCGUGACUUCCAAUAGGGUCCAAGAAUUCAACCAGCCGCAGCAUUCUCCAUUAUACGAAUGAAUAGUGCUACUUAUCCCAGAUUUCUCUCAACUUUUUUUUUUCCCAAUCAGACAUGAUAUAUACACCACAUCAUUGCAUUAAGAAAUGCAGCAAUGUUUUAGAAUCCAAUGUGAGAAUGCCAUGUAAAAGGUUGGGGUCAACAGAGUAUUGAUCACCUAAAAAAUCACUUUAAUAAAUUCAUCCUUUGAAAGAAAAAACAACAACAACAACAACAAAGCCUUUUCCCACUAAGUGGGGUCGGCUAUAUGAAUCCUAGAACGCCAUUGCGCUCGGUUUUGUGUCAUGUCCUCCGUUCGAUCCAAGUACUCUAAGUCUUUUCUUAGAGUCUCUUCUAAAGUUUUCCUAGGUCUUCCUCUACCCCUUCGGCCCUGAACCUCUGUCCCGUAGUCACAUCUUCGAACCGGAGCGUCAGUCGGCCUUCUUUGCCCAUGUCCAAAUCACCGGAACCGAUUUUCUCUCAUCUUUCCUUCAAUUUCGGCUACUCCUACUUUACCUCGGAUAUCCUCAUGCCCAAUCUUAUCCUUUCUCGUGUGCCCACACAUCCCACGAAGCAUCCUCAUCUCCGCUACACCCAUUUUGUGUACGUGUUGAUGCUUCACCGUCCAACAUUCUGUGCCAUACAACAUCGUUGGCCUUAUUGUCGUCCUAUAAAAUUUUCCCUUGAGCUUCAGUGGCCUACGACGGUCACAUAAACACGCCGGAUGCACUCUUACACUUCAUCCGUCCAGGUCGUAUUCUAUGGUUGAGAUCUCCAUCUAAUUCUCCGUUCUCUUGCAAGAUAGAUCCUAGGCAGCAAAAACGGUCGCUUUUUGUGAUCUUCGCUAGAUUGCUCCGGUCAUUAGUGUGGAUAAGUAUAUAAAAUGAAUAGAGAUAGGAAAGCAAACACAAGAUGUACGUGGUUCACCCAGAUUGGCUACGUCCACGGAAUAGAAGAGUUCUCAUUAAUUGUGAAGGGUUUACACAAAGUACAUAGGUUCAAGCUCUCCUUUAGUGAGUACAAGUGAAUGAUUUAGUACAAAUGACAUUAGGAAAUAUUGUGAGAGAAUGAUCUCGUAAUCACGAAACUUCUAAGUAUCGGAGUGUGGUAUCGUCUUGACUUGCCUUAUCUGUCUCAUAGGUAGAUGUGGCAUCUUCUCUGGAAGUACUCUUCCUCCAUCCAGGGGUGGUAUCUUUAACUGGUGGAGAUGCACAAGGUAAUGUAUCAAUUUCACUUGAAGCUUACUUGUAGUUUCAGGCUUGGUCAAGCGCGAUACAAACCAUGUAGUAGGAGUCUCCCAAGUCGCCGAGCUAGGGGAUCUGCUGAAAGAGGUGACAGACAAGGUAAGCAAUCAGAGCUCCGGCUGAUUGUUCACCUUCUCCCCAUCUUGCAGCAGCAUGAAGGAUAAAGAGAAGAAAGAUGAGAAGAGAUGAUAUGGGAUACUUUUGCUUUUGAAGAAGUAACUUUCCACAGGCUUAUUCUUGAACUGAGCUGGAGGGUUUUCUGGUUUCCUCCAGAGCCGACUGAAGAAUUUGAGGGUCAAAACAAGUCCAUCAAAUCUAUAGUACGUUCGACCCUGCUGAUAUGGGAUACUUUUGCUUUUGACAGAGUAAUGGAUGUAUCGGCACGUGUGCUGUUACGCUUGUCUCCACAUGCUUCCUUGUAUCCUUCGCACUUGCCCUAUCUGUUCCUCAAGCAGAUGCGGUAUCUUCCCUGGAAACAUAAGAUGUUGAAGAUGAGUACUCGAGAGCAAUGCCAGGUAAGUAAUCAGGUAAGGGGUUCCAGGCAGUCAGUUCCUGGCUGGAAGCUUGAUUCCAAGUGCUGACUGAUUGCUCUCUUUCUCCUUGUCUUGCAGGGAACAACAAGGCCAAAGGAAAAGACAGGGAAAAAGCAUGAUAUGGGAUACUCUUGCUUUUAACCCUGAUGAUAUGAGAUAUUCUUGCUCUAGUAUAGCUUGUUUGCAAAGGUAUUAUCGGGGGGGAAAGAAAGCUGAAUAUUUCGAAAUGCUUCGUUGGGAGUGCCCUCUCAAAUAUGAGGAAGGGUUGAACAUUUUUGCAGGUCUGCCUGUCCGUUGGGGAUGGAGGUCGACAUAUAUAGGAGUCUCCCUAACAACAAGUAGUAAUGCUAUUCCUUUACCCUGCUUGGUCAUAGCACGGUAGUGGGAGCUGCCAGCUUCACAUGUUUUAACUCUGUCAGAGCACUUUGAAAAAGUGGUCUGUGCUCUCGAGAAGUCUUCGACAGAAUGCCCAUAAUUUCCGCAAAGCUGAGUGUGCGUGUGACAGGUGCUGACAAGGCUAGAAAAGUAGGUGCCUCUUCGAUUUCUGAGAUCGGCCCUCGUGGUCUCUGAGCAGCUCAGCUUUUGAGAAAGCGAGCGUCUCUUCGAUUGAUUCGGAGAACGAUGCAUCUUCGAUUUUUAAGAAAGCAAUCAUGAUGGGGGUCUGGCUCUCGAGAUUCGGGGAGCAGUGUCACUUCGAUUUUUGAGAAAGUAAUCAUGUUGGGAGUCUGGCUCUCGAGAUUCGGAGGGCGGUGCCUCUUCGAUUUUGGAGCAAGCAAUCUUGUUGGGAGUGUUUUUCUCGAAUGUGAGUAAAGGUUGGGCAUGUUUGCUAGUCUACCUUGCCACGAAGCACAGAUGUUGACACACAGGGAUUUUCCAAUUAUCCAGCAAUGGUACUGUUCCUUUACCCUCUCUUCGAUUUUUGAGAAAGUAAGUCAUGUUGGGAGUCUGGCUCUCGAGAUUCGGAGGACGGUGCCUCUUCGAUUUUGGAGCAAGCAAUCUUAUUGGUAGUGUUUUCUCGAGUGUGAGUAAAGGUUGGGCAUGUUUACUAGUCUACCUUGCCACGAAGCACAGAGGUUGACACACAGGGACUUUCCAAUUAUCCAGCAGUGGUACUGUUCCUUUACCCUUGUGGGUAAUAAUAUGGUAGCUAGACCUUCAAAAUUUAUGGGUCUAAACUUUGUUAGUGCUGUUUCUUUGCUAUUCUUUUACCUUUCUUGGUUAGAGCGAUGUAGUGGGAGCUGCAAGCUUUACGUGCUCAAUUUUGGCAGAGAACUUUGGCAAAGUUAUCUGUGGUACCCAUGAGCUAGUGUUGCGUGUGGGAAGUGGGUGAUUGAACAGUAAGGUUCAUGUGUUUUCUACUUCCUCAGAAGUCUUCGACAGAAUGCCCAUAAUUUCCGCAAAGCUGAGUGUGCGUGUGACAGGUGCUGACAAGGCUGGAAAAGUAGGUGCCUCUUCGAUUUCUGAGAUCGGCCCUCGUGGUCUCUGAGGAGCCCAGCUUUUGAGAAAGCGAGCGCCUCUUCGAUUUCUGAGAUCGGCCUUCGUGGUCUUUGAGCAGCCUAAUUUUUGAGAAAGCAAACGCCUUUUCGAUUUCUGAGAUCAACCCUCGUGGUCUCUAAGCAGCCCAGCUUUUGAGAAAGCAAACGCCUCUUCGAUUUCUGAGCAGGCGCCUCUUCGAUUUCUGAAGACCGUCGAGUGCAGAUUUUUAUAGGGGCUGGCAUUAAGUUCCAAAGCACACUUGAAUCUCCACCAGUAGAAGCUCCAUUCUUGCACUUCUAAGAUCUUGAUUUGUCCAACCUCUUCUCUCUUCAACACCUUUGAAAAUGUCUGGCCCCUCCGACCGUCGUUUUGACUUGAACCUUGUUGAAGAGGCAGCCCCGCCUUCUCCAGACAACAUAUGGCGCCCAUCCUUCGUCUCCCCUACUGGUCCUCUUACCGUUGGGGAUUCCGUGAUGAAGAAUGAUAUGACUGCUGCGGUGGUGGCCAGGAACCUUCUCACUCCCAAAGAUAACAGACUACUACUUUCCAAACGGUCUGAUGAGUUAGCUGUUAAGGAUUCGCUGGCUCUCAGUGUUCAGUGUGCAGGUUCUGUGUCUAAUAUGGCCCAACGCCUAUUUGCUCGAACCCGCCAAGUUGAAUCAUUGGCGGCUGAGGUGAUGAGUCUCAAACAGGAGAUUAGAGGGCUCAAGCAUGAGAAUAAACAGUUGCACCGGCUCGCACAUGACUAUGCUACAAACAUGAAGAGGAAGCUUGACCAGAUGAAGGAAACUGAUGGUCAGGUUUUACUUGAUCAUCAGAGAUUUGUAGGUUUUGUUCCAAAGGCAUUUAUUGCCUUCGUCUUCUGGGGCUGUACCGCGUAAUGAAGCUCCAAAUAAUCAACCUCUGAUGCCUCCUCCUUCUAGGGUUCUGUCCAGUACUGAGGUUCCGAAUGAUCCCCCUCCGGUGCCUUCUCUUUCUGGGGCUCUACCGACUGCUGAGACUUCUCCUAAGCAACCCUUGUGAAGGCUCCCUCUUGUUUGUUUAUUUUGACUCAUGUAUAUAUGUACACAUUUGUAGCUUAUCGGGGAUAUCAAUAAAUAAGUUUUUCCUUCAUUUCAACGUAUUGUGUUAAAUACACCAAAACCUUCUUCGCUAAGUUCUUUGAAUUUUCUUUUGUUGAAGCUUGUAUGUUGAAGCUUUCUGAGUGGAGCAUGUAGGUUGGGGUAGUGUUCCCUUAAUUUCCCGAGUGAGGAAAACUUCUCGAUUGGAGACUUGGAAAAUCCAAGUCACUGAGUGGGAUCGGCUAUAUGAAUCUUAGAACGCCAUUGUGCUCGGUCCUGUGUCAUGUCCUUCGUUAGAUCCAAGUACUCUAAGUCUUUUCUUAAAGUCUCUUCCAAAGUUUUCCUAGGUCUUCCUCUACCCCUUCAGCCCUGAACCUCUGUCCCAUAGUCGCAUCUUCUAAUCGGAGCGUCAGUAGGCCUUCGUUGCACAUGUCCAAACCACCGUAACCGAUUUUCUCUCAUCUUGCCUUCAAUUUCGGCUACUCCUACUUUACCCCGGAUAUCCUCAUUCUUAAUCUUAUCCUUUCUCGUGUGCCCACACAUCCAACGAAGCAUCCUCAUCUCCGCUACACCCAUUUUGUGUAUGUGUUGAUGCUUCACCGCCCAACAUUCUGUGCCAUACAGCAUCGCUGGCCUUAUUGCCGUCUUAUAAAAAUUUUCCCUUGAGCUUCAGUGGCAUACGGCGGUCACACAACACGCCGGAUGCACUCUUCCACUUCAUCCAUCCAGCUUGUAUUCUAUGGUUGAGAUCUCCAUCUAAUUCUCCGUUCUUUUGCAAGAUAGAUCCUAGGUAACGAAAACGGUCGCUCUUUGGUAUUUCUUGAUCUCCAAUCCUCACCCCUAACUCGUUUUUGGCCUCCAUUUGCACUGAACUUGCACUCCAUAUAUUCUGUCUUUGAUCGGCUUAGGCGAAGACCUUUAGAUUCCAACACUUCUCUCCAAAGGUUAAGCUUUGCAUUUACCCCUUCCUGAGUUUCAUCUAUCAACACUAUAUCGUCUGCGAAAAGCAUACACCAAGGAAUAUCAUCUUGAAUAUGUCCUGUUAACUCAUCCAUUACCAACGCAAAAAGGUAAGGACUUAAGGAUGAGCCUUGAUGUAAUCCUACAGUUAUGGGAAAGCUUUCGGUUUGUCCUUCAUGAGUUCUUACGGCAGUCUUUGCUCCUUCAUACAUAUCCUUUAUAGCUUGGAUAUAUGCUACUCGUACUCCUUUCUUCUCUAAAAUCCUCCAAAGAAUGUCUCUUGGGACCCUAUCAUACGCUUUUUCCAAAUCUAUAAAGACCAUGUGUAAAUCCUUUUUCCCAUCUCUAUAUCUUUCCAUCAAUCUUCGUAAGAGAUAGAUUGCCUCCAUGGUUGAGCGCCCUGGCAUGAACCCAAAUUGGUUGUCCGAAACCCGUGUCUCUUGCCUCAAUCUAUGCUCAAUGACUCUCUCCCAGAGCUUCAUUGUAUGACUCAUUAGCUUAAUACCCCUAUAGUUCAUGCAAUUUUGUACGUCACCCUUAUUCUUGUAGAUAGGCACCAAAGUGCUCGUUCGCCACUCAUUUGGCAUCUUCUUCGUUUUCAAAAUCCUAUUGAAAAGGUCAGUGAGCCAUGUUAUACCUGUCUCUCCCAAAACUUUCCACACUUCGAUUGGUAUAUCGUCUGGGCCUACUGCUUUUCUAUGCUUCAUCUUCUUCAAAGCUACAACCACUUCUUCCUUCCGGAUUCUACGAUAAAAAGAGUAGUUUCUACACUCUUCUGAGUUACUCAACUCCCCUAAAGAAGCACUCCUUUCAUGUCCUUCAUUGAAAAGAUUAUGAAAAUAACCUUUCCAUCUGUCUUUAACCGCGUUCUCUGUAGCAAGAACCUUUCCAUCCUCAUCCUUGAUGCACCUCACUUGGUUUAGGUCCUUUGUGCCUAUCCUCAUCUUUGAAAGAAAAAACAAGGAUGGAAAAUAACUCUUAAAUCUAACUGUCAUCUUACUGUAGGGAUGUUAAUUGUAAUUCUGAAUGGCAUCUGAUUAGUGAAUCAGAAAGCAAGAAACAAAUAUUCACAGAAAGUCACCAGAAACAUAUGAAAUAAAUGGCUUUUACUGGUAGCAAUAAGAAUACCUUGUCCACAUGUUUCAUUGCGAACGUCUAUGGAAACUCCAAAUAGAAUAGAUUCUGUAAAGCUUUGAAUUCCUAUAAAUCUCUGAAGGACAUGAAGAGAAUUCUUUCUUCUGCUUUGGACUAUUUUCAGCAACAAGGACAAAAUAAAUCUACUUGAUUCAAGUUCCUUAUACAACGCAUUAAGGCCAAAGCUUGGUGUUGCAUAUUUCCCAUCAGAACGAGCAGCAAUUUCUGUUGAUAGUAGAGUACUUAAUUGUGUCCCACAUAAGCAUUGGGUGGUUAACCCUGGCAGAUCCUGAUAUCUUAUCCUGUUUAGUUGGAAAAUACAUCUUACUGAGCAAUCGAAAAAUUGGUUCAAGGUCUGAGGUCGUUCUUCCACAUCUCUGAAGGGGGAAACCUUUAAGACUUCCAACCUUCCCAGAUGCCUCUGCUGCAGAUCGCAAGAGAGCCAACCCUUGUUGAAGCUGAAGAGAAUUAAUUUCGUCAACUGAUUUGACCGAUGGACCAGUAGCAUGCGAUGAAUUAACACCUGAAUGCACAGGCUCCUUGGUGACAUGGAGAAACCCUGGCAAUGCGGGCAAGACAGAAUUUGCAAGUCGACGGCAUACAGGGCAGAGAAACUCCCCCUAUGGGAAAAUGAACAAACAUGCACAAGGUUAGUAAUAGAAUCCUCAUCCAUUCACUACAGGCAAAAGUUGGAAAAAAAAUGCAGGGAAACCUUGUACCUUAUCCGGAUCUGCAAUAUGUCCCCCUUCAAAAACAAUUCUUCUGAGAUACCUGCAUGGACAAAUAAGAUGGGACAAGUUAGGCCAUUUUCAAUAAAAUAUCAAUAAUCUUCCAGAGCAACGUGUAUGAUAUAUCUUACUAUUUUUCGUUAGAUGUUGCAAUGCAUCAUAACUAUAAAAGCAGGAAAUUCAUUUUUUAGCAACCAUCGAUUUGGAAAACCACACCAUACCCCCUUGUAGAACAAAUAAAGAAACCAAAAAAAUAAAUAAAAACUGAAUGAAAAAUCAUCAAGGCAAGAUUAAAGGUUCACACAGGUCUUCCUAAAGAACAAGACAACUCCACUUGCAAGGUUAAAAGCAAGGCCAAAGAGAUUAAGAGAAAUGUAUUCUGAAACCGUCUUUUCCAAAGUUUCUGCUACUGGAUUGCCCUUCCAAGUUCAUUGCACAAGGUGUGACCACUCUCACUAGCAAUCAAUAAAACAACAGAGAAGGCACUCCCUCUUAACAAAUAUUUUAAUAGCAUUUGCAUUUGAAAAAAUACAACUUCCACUAUUCAUGCAAAUAAUUAAAAAAAAAAUUCCAUAAUUAAGAUUAAGAAGUGAUCAAGAAUUCCCAACCAAAAUUACUAAGGAUUGAAGAUUUCUCUUAUUGAGAGGAUUUACCUUUCCUUCAACGAAAAUAAAUAACGAUCAAGGCAUCCCUGAUGCACAGCAUGUCCACAGGAAGAAAGAUAAAUUCCAUCACAAUCUGUCAGGCCAAAUCCGUCACGCGCUGAAAGACGAGAAGAAUCUACUGGCACCCUUUCAUUAGGAGCACUUUCAGAAGAUGAAGGAAUCUCUGUUGCCUCUCUAGAAAGAGCAGCUAUAUAUGUUCCAAGUAACAUAAAUUCAGCAUGCUUAGUUUCUUCUUGAUCCCCUUCAGGAGUUGAAAAUCCCUUAUCCUCUAAAGGAUUAGAAUGAAGUAUCUUAUCACGCAUUUCCUUUUGGAUGGAGAUGUACAUAUCGUCUUCCAUUGUCUCAAAUGUAAAUAAAGUCUUCACCAUAUCAUCAUUUGAUUCACGUGGCACUUGGAUAUCAGCACUUAAUUCAUGGAACCGGCCCUUGAGAAAAUUUAUAAGAGCGGCAACAUCCCUAGGUUGUCCAUGAUAGGCAAAUUUGGUGAUUGCAUUCUGAACCAACUGUCUGCAAGAAUAAGAUGGCACCUGUUCUGGUCCUGAACCUCUUGAUAAAGUGCUUGAUCCAGAUUGAUCACUCACCUUGUUUGUGGUAAUAGAGAUGUGCUCCUUGUCUGUCCAAGGUGGUUGCUCCCAUGACCGGGGACCUCUUUCUAUGAAACUUAAGAGUCUAGAUUUCUGAAGUAAAACCAAGUAGGAUAUGGGAUUUCUGGAACUGGGAUCAUGACAAAGAGAGCAAACAACUUGUUCAGAUUCUUCCAAGUCAUCUUCAAUAUUGAGUUUACAAACCUCUUGCUCAGAUUUUGAACCCUCAUCCACAGUGGAAUUUACACUGGCCAUAAACUUAGAUUGUUCGGCUCUCAUUUUUUCCAAUAUGGCAGCCUGUCUCUCUCUAGCUUUUGCCUUGCGCUUCUCAGAGUAAGAAAUUGAACCUGAGGUCUUAGCAUCACCAUUUAAAGAAGAUUGUGAUACGUGACCAAUCACUUCAGGUGCAAGUUGUUGUAAUAUGGUCAUACAUCCGGAAUCAAUCUCUACAAACUUCUUUAAUAAGCUUCCAAUUAAAGAAGAGAGGUCGCAACUGCCAGCUUCCAAACAAUUGUUGACAUUCUCUUUCUUAUACAUCCUCAUCGAGAUAACAAGAAGUGACAGUAAGCUUUGUUGACCAGCACCAAAGUAUCGCCCUUCAGUAAUUUCUUCCCCAGCAAAAGCUAGCAUUGGAAUUGCAUCUCCAUCAUAACAAGACUUAUCACCAGCUUCCUUAUGUUGAGAACAAAUGUCUAAUGCUAAUGAGAGUAAGUGCAAUGCAGUUAAGAGAACACUAUCAGGAGCUCGUGAAUCAUUUGAUUUAUCAGAAAAAACAGCAUAAAACAGCACAGCACGGAUAAUUUGAAGCACUGAUUUACAAGUAGCUAUUCUAGCUACCCCUUUGAAAGGAGAAUAAAUCUUAGUCCAUCUGGGUAGCUGAGUGGUCAAUGCACAAACACCACGAAAACGCAAGUAUCUUUCUUCUGCAGCUUGCAGAUCCCUCGAGUUCCAACGAGAGUAGUACAAAUCCAGUUCUUUCCAAAAUGUCCAUUGUAGCGAAUAAGUCCCCUGAUUAAAGCCAGAGGGAUUGGAGUACACGGCAAUGGAUUCCAAAAUUCCAUGUAGCUGAUCAGACUUGGAGAGAUCACGAGGAAGAGAUUUCACCAAUUGACUAUGAGUGCCAUCUGCAAUGGCUAAUUUAUGAACCAACUCUCUUUUCAAACUUUCAGCUUUAGUUAGACCACAAAAUCGCCUUUCUUUGAUUAUUUGUAUAAUAAGAGUGAGCAUUUCUUGCACUAGAAUAGUUUCAUAUUCACUAGAGCGCUCAAGGUUCAAAGAAAGGUAGCUGGACAGGCCAAAGCGUUCUAUAAUUCUGUUAACAUAAGGAUCAGCUGGAGCUAAGGCAGCACAGCACUGAAGCAGAAACAGAUCAAGCUCCAAACCCUGUUCAGACCUGCAAAAUUAACCAUAUGAUAAAGAGACAAUCCUGAAAAUAAAAGGGGAAAAAAGAGUGAAAAGAAAAUCAAUCAUUACAAGAGAUACAUUUUCCCCCUAAAAUGCAUGCCACAGAUAAAGCAUAAAUCACUUACCAGCGAACUGAACGAUACCACUCACAAGGUAACAGGGCGGCAUCCCCAUUUUUCCGCCACAUUCCAGCAUGAACCUCAGCACAAAAUACUCUGAUCCGAAGGGGAUGCUCCAUAACAAAAGCAGAAAAUCCAUAUGGGUGGCAGCCUCCCAGAAUAUUUCCAAAGAAGUCAGUGAAAAUAGCUGAUGAUGAAUUUGCAGAAGUAACGCUAGCCAGAUCUGGCACUUCACCGAAACAUCUUCUUAAUGCUUUCUGUAAAAGCAAGGAAAGUAAACGGUGUAAAGGAAUGUGAACAGAUAUAUCCUGCGAACUAACAUCAUAUGUUAUGUCUGGCCAAUCAGACAAAUUCAGAACGCGUUGAGCAUCCAAGUCCAUGGCACCAUCUACUUCCAUAGCACUAUCAUCAAAUCCUGCAGGAUUGCAGACAUUAACUGAAUCAAUUUCGUCAGUAACCAUCAAUUUACUCUCCUGCCCUGCACUUUUGCCAUUUUGGGUGUCAAUACUCAUAUUGCAAUCACUAUGUCCAUGUGAUGAAUGCUGCUUGCCAUGAUCUUCACUUGAACUGCCAAGUCUACCAAAAAUAUAUUUUCCUUUCCUGAUCUUGGAUAAUGUUCUCUUCAAUGCUGAAAAAUUGCUAACAGAGAAAUUGCUAGUACUUGGAGAAGAGGCAUCAAGAAGAGUCCUGGAGGUAUUAUCAACUCCCAGCCAAUUCUUAAUUGCCCUCAAGCACUCAUAUGUUAGCCACAUCACAGAAGGUGGAAUCAACAAAUCAGAAAGAGCAUCCGAUUUAUCUUCAGAAACCUUCGACUCGCACGCAAAUGAACUACUACUCCCUACUGCACUGCAUGCAGAACUUUCCUGGGACAGCCAUCCUACUUCUGAAUGCCUUAGGCUAUCCAUGUCAUCCAUAUCCUGCUUAUAUGUUCUGAAAAGAGAGUCUUCAUCCAUCUUGUCAAUAGCCACAGAAAAUGCCCCAUCCACCAAUAAAGAAUGAAUGUUGGCAAUUGAAUGACCUAGAACAAAUGGCAGAUGCAUAUUCUCAUUUUCUUCUUCAAUGUGUAAGCCUGUUUCUCUUUUCUGUGGGUUCAUCCCUUGAAUGAAAGCCAAGAGUCGUGUCCAAGUUCUUGAAAUAUCUUGCUGGUCACGUGUUACGUAUUUGGGCACUGUAGCAUGGCUCAUAACAAAUCGAAUAUCUUCAAUCACACGAAAUGUGAUCUCAUACAAAUUUGACAACGUGGUAACCUAUAAGGGUAACCAACAAUUUUACUACAUGAGACCAAAACAAAUGAAAAAGUAGGAACUUUUAUAAAGCAAAAGAAAACGCAUCAGGUACUCAAUCACAAUAAAAAAAAGGUCGUACCCAGUGCACAAGGCUCCCGCUUUAAGCAGGGUCUGGGAGAGGUGAAUGUCGGCUAGUCUUACCCCCAUUUAUGGAGAGGCUGCUCCCAAGUCUCGAACCCGAGACCUACCGCUCAUGGGCGAAGGCACUUGCCAUCGCACCAGGUACUCAAUCACAAUGAACUAGAAAAACAAAAAAACGAAAACAAACAGAAAAAAAAAAAAAAACAAACAGAAUGAACUCCACAACCGGAGCAUAAAAAGUACCAUAGUUAGAACACCAUAUAAGCACGACAUGACUUUAGAUUAAAACAUAACUACACAAUCUAUAAGUUGGGUUAUCAAUUCCAUAAUGAAGGUGGCAAGGACAAGGAAGCAAUGUGCAGAGGAGUAACGAUCAUUUCGCAACCUAUAGAGAUAUAUUAUAUUAUUAUAUAAAUAAAAGGAGAUCAGUGAAACAUUCAAAAUACCAACAAUUGUCCACCCCUAGUUAGAUUUUCAAAAGAAAACAAUUUAAUUGGUGGUAAAUUAGUUAUCACAUUUGGAAGUAAAUAAAAAAUUCAGUAAAAACCAAUAUUUUAAAAGGCUUGCCUCAGAGCUCGCCUAGGCGCCCUCUAAGGCUGGGCUUGAGGGUUGUCGCCUCUGUUUUGAGGGAGUGGGCGUAAGGCUUCGCCAGAGCCGCCUAGGCGGCGGAAGGCACGCCUCAGGGCUUUUUUUUUUUUAAACUCCCAUACACAAAUUUUGGGUAGGGUUUUAACUGCCUCAUACCUCUUCCUUGCACUAUUGUCUCUCUGCCUUUUUUCUGAUUUUUAUUUUUAAUAUAAUGGAUGUGUGUGUUGUCUGCGUGCAUUGUUAUGUGUGCUCAUUGUGCUUUUCAUCCUCAAUUUUAUAUACAUAUAUAUAUAUAUAUAAUAUAAUAUAAUAUAUGUCUAUAUAUGUGUAUAUAUAUUUAUAAUAUAUGUAUGUGCUCAGGAUGAUUAUUGGUUAAUAAUCUUUUUUUUAAUAUAAUAUAUAUGUACGCUCAGUGUAUAUAUUAAAAAAUUUAGGUCCUGUGAGGCUUCGCCUCAUGCCUCACGCCUAGGCCAGGCUAUCCCUUGGACGCCUCGCCCAUGCCUCACGCUUUUAAUACACUGGUAAAAACUCUAAAAAUUGAAGAAUCCCACGUAUUCCUGAUUAGUUAUCUUUGAAAUUUUCUUUUAAAUAACCAAUUGUAAAUUCACCUUUUCAAAUUAAAAAAAAAAUACAAAAAUCCAAUUGGCACACAUGUGGGCAUGUGCCACGGGGUUAGGACAGCACUUAAAGAAAGAAACAAAAAAUCAAUGCAUUACCUGUAAACGACCGUCAUCCCCAGCACAGGAAAUGAAAAUAUCUUCCAAGCAUCCCAUCAGCAUAGACAGUAGGUUCAUUUCUUUAACAAGACGAGGUGUUAAAGUUGGCACCGUGAAGAUUUGUACAGAGAAUACAGAGAGCAGUGGAUACUUUUUCGAAGAAUGGUCACUUAAUCCCUUUAUGGCUUCACUUACAACGGCUGGGUAAUAACUCAGAAAUACUUUGGCAAACUCAAAUUUGAAAACUGGUUCUCCCAGCAGUUUCAGUAGCAACUCAUGCAGCCUUUUCGUAACAGUGUCAUUCAAAAACCUCUCUGCUCUCACAAGAAUCCCCAAUAGAUCCCCUGAUGCUAAAACCGUCUUGGAUACAGAACUUAGCAGACUCUCACUGUACUUACAGAAUUCUAGAAGCAUCUCAACCACGACAAAAGUUAACUCAUUUGCAACCUUUCUAUGCCCUCCAACUUGGUCACUUGCUCUAACAUUUUCCCGCCAGAUAGUUUCACCAAGAACCAGCUUGGUUUUCCAUAUAUCAAACAGGCAAUCAAGAACAGGCCCUACGAUGUUUGCAAUCUCCUUCGGGAGAGGUUGUAUCUGUUCCACACCUUUAUGCUUUGAACAAAAGCCUUCGCGCUUCCAUGCUGUAACAUCACCACAAUCACAACAACCACCACCAGUAUAAAUAACUGAAUAAUCAUGAUCCUUGUGGUUCCCAUUCUGAAAACACGGAACACAAAUUGCACAGGUUGGAUCAUUUUCACAAGUUCGGCAUCUGUAUGCAAUAUCGUUCUGUCCCCAAACAGCUCCGCAAAAACCACGCUGCCCAACACUCAUUUUGGAGAGACUCCUCAGGGCUGCCUCAGGUUCGCCCUCAAACAUCAACCACUGCAACCACGACAUGUUUUCACGGAAUCUAUUUUUCCUGCUUGCACCUUGUUUCUUAGCCCCUGGUUUAGCUUCAUUUAAAACUUCUGCCACUUCCUCAUCAGCAGGUAGAACAGCGGAAACCAGUUCCGGUAUCCGGUGCUUGUUUUUCUUAACAUAAGCAAUCAACCCUCGUUGAUAUUCACCAAGAAAUUCGUUUGGCACUCCCAAUUGAGCAAGCCUCUGGCAUGAAUAAAACAAAAACAUAAAUGUGAACCUUUCUUAUGUGUAAAAUUACGAUACAAAAAGACAGCCAAAAAAGCACAUAUACUUUAAAAGGUAGUUUUUUUUUUCCCAGAAAUUUCACUCAAUUACUCUACAAGUUUUAUGGUAUUAGCUCUGGAAAAUGAUCAAUAAUUCAAAAAAAAAUAAUUCAAUAAAAUUACAAAGGAACAAACUUUCAACUACACAUGAACAGUUAAUUGUAUCCCAAAUACCGUAUAAUUCAACAAACUAACUGCUGAAAAAAGACAGAAAAAGAAAAGGAUAAUCAGAAGCAGAAACGUCAUACCCGCACGAUUCGAUCACGAUGCUUGAUGUGGAUGGAUUCAGGAGGCAAAUCGACUUCCAUAGUAUCAGAACUCCAGCACCGAGCAAGCCAAUCCACGCAGCACAAACAACGCGUAAUCCCAGAGCUUUCACUCCCCAGGAUUACUUGACAACCACAAUAAUUUAGAGCAGUAAAGCCUAAUAAUUCUUCCUAAUUCGACAGCCUAAUCGAAUUCCCCAAGCCCUAAUACACCAUCCGAGAGUCGAAUAUAUACAAAUAAUUGUACUCAACCAACUCUCUCUCUCUCUCUCUCUCUCUCCCUUGGCGGCUUAUGCAGAAGGACGCGAAGAAUCUAUCCGGAGAGAGAGACAGAAGAUUUGAGAAUAUAAUGGAGUGUGAUUGAAUAUUUGUGACAGAUUGCGUGUAAAACUAUCAAUUUUGUUCUUCACAGUUAAUUUUUCGAUGUUGUUUGGCUGGAUUUUUAUUAUUUUUUAUUUAUUAUUUUAAUUAUUUAUAUCCUUUGCAGCGGUGGUUGCAGUUUUUUCACAGAUUCAUGUGAUUAGUUUUAAUUUUCACAUAUUUAUAACUUGUGGAUGCAUGGGCUGUGGAGUUGCAAGCCACCCCAACUUGAGGGAACGGAGAGGCCAUGGAGUUGGGUGGAUAACACUAACAGGCCAGCCCAACUUCGUCAUCAGGUUGUGUGGGGCGGAAGAGUAUUCGGAAGAUAAUUUCUGUAGUAGAAAAAAUUAAGAUUUUUUUUUAGCAAACGAUAUUAUUUAUAUUAAUUUUAGGUUUUAAAUCAACCUUAACUUGCUUCAACUUUUUGGUCAAAUAAUGAGUUUUAAAUCAAAAUUUAUUUCUAGGGUAAAUUUAGGUCAGGAUUCUUCUUAGCUUGGUGGCGGCAAACCCACCAUAUAUGUGUUUUUUUUUUUUUGUAUUUAUAAAUUCAUUGAAUCCAACUGUUAAGAUUUAAUAUAAUCAAAUCCAAUAGUUAAAAAAAUUUAACGAUCCAACUUUAUAUCUAAUGGCUAGAAUAAUUAUAAAAAAAAAAUUCAUUCAUGUGUUUCAUAUUCUUUAUAGUAUUUUGCGAGUUUUAUAGUAUCGGUUCAGUGAUUUUUCAAUAUUUAUAAGAAUCUAAAUAUUUUAAGGUUAAAAUUUUCACAAAAUUAAAUGAAAUAUUCUACAUAAAUUUUAUUUUAAAAAAGUUACUUUAAGAAAAAAGUAUCCUAAGGGUUGGUUUGGUAUUGCUGUGCUUUUUAAAAAAAAACUGUUUCUGUUGUGCUGUGAAAAUUAACAGUUGUAAAAAAAAAGCAGUAGAGUGUUUGGUAACUUUUUUUUUUGUAAAAGUGUUUUUAACAAAAAAAAUAUUGUUUAAGUGUUUGAUAAACUUUUAUAUAAAACUGAUGUGACGAUGUUAAAUGACAAAAAAUGGUAUGAUGUUAGAUGUUAUACUUUUUUAUUCAUAAUGUAACUCUUUCUAGAAGCAUCCAAUUUUCUCUCUACCCCCUUUGCCCCUUUCCACAUCUUCCAGACCCUUCUCCACACCUCCAACCAUCCCCCACCGUAGCACCCUUGAGACCAAGAUGAUCUCCCCAAAUUUGAUAAUUUAUUUUCUAAAUUUGGCGGGGCUUGAUUAUGUAAUUGCAGCAAAAGCAUAUGCAGAUUUGGUGAUAAUAAGGUUUGGAGUGUGAGGGUUCAGCGACUCAGAGUUGACGAAGCUUAAAAAUUCGAGAAGGUGUGGGGGUUCAGCGACACCAAGGGUUAUGGCUUCAUCACCCCCUAAGACGGAAGCGAGUAUUCACCAGUUAUCGGUUAGAACCGACAGCUUCCACAUCGUUGCUUAAGGCGAGUCCAUAGCAGUAGUUUUGAAUUUGGCAAUGGUUGUGGAUUCAAGAGAAAAUACAGGACGUGGGCUGCGACUAUGGUGGGUUGCGUUCUUGAAAGGUGAAAAUUAUUGACCAGUGGGCUCGGAAAAGUGGUCAUGGUGUUAGUAGGGGUAGGUGUGGUGGGUGGGGUGGUCGGGGCUGGUGGGUGGGUGAGUGGUGUUUAGCAUAGAGAAAUGGAGGACAUUAUAGAGAUGGAGGACAAAGAUGCCUUUUGGUAAAAAAAAACGGUGGGGGUAUUAUUGGCCUUUAGAAAAUUUCAUUAAAACUUCACUGUAGCUCUGCAUGCUUCAUUUUGAAGCAGUUUUCUGUGGUUUUUGAAAGUAGGGUCAGAGCAGCUUCUUGAUUUCUACUUUUUAUCACCGCGCUUCAAGAAAAAGCUGCUUUAUUUUUCAGUUACCAAACGCUUGAAGGAUCCAAAUUUUUAAAAAAGCUACUUUUUAAUUAAGCACCGCAAUGCCAAACUGGGGCUAAAUUCAUUCUUUAGUAAAUUCGGGCUAAGAAUUUAACCCAGAAGAGUUUUUAUUUUUUAUUUUUAAGGGGAACAACUGGUGACAAGUCACGGUUAUCCAACCCUUCUAGAAGCGGUUUGAGCAAAAAAAAACUGUUUCUGGUUAAAACUUAAAUUUUUUAGGUCAAAAAAUUUAAGUUUUAAUGCAAUGGUUGGAGAUGGUCUAAAAAAUAAAGGGAAUACUUUGGAUGCGGUCCCUAAUCCUUGACAUUCUUUGACUAAAACCUUAAUGGUAUUCAAAGUUUGAUCAAAGUUCAUUGACUUUGUACACCUCAUUAUAUUACAAUUAAUAUUUAUAUUUUUAUAGUUUUGACAUUAAUUGUUUGAUAUUUUAUGAGAUUUAUAAUCCUAUAAAUUUAAAAUCCGUCAUUACAAUACUAUUAGAAAAGGUUACAAUAAAAAAAUUCAAAAUUUUCGAUUGAAUAAAUGGAUAAAAACUAUGUAAAAACAAGAAAUAAUAAAUAGCAAAAGAAUGUAUCCAUAGUGUUAAAAAAAAUUGGUACGUUUUACAAAAAAAUUGGUACAUUUCACAUAUAACAAAGUGGUACAUUAAUAAAGAAGAAUGGGUACAUUAUAAAUAAAUUAGGGUGCAUAUAAAAGAUUAAAAAAUUAUGAGUACAAAUGAAUUUUUAAAAAAUAUAGGCGCUAAAAAAAAUUAAUACAUGGGUACAAAAUAAAACUAAAAAUAAAAUACUACAAAUUUAAAAAAAUAUUUCAAAUUAAAAGUGGGUACAAACUAAAAAUAUAAAUACAUGAUACAAAG
rnacentral:lncRNA from 1 species